AAAUUUGGAAUGGUGGGAGCAACUUUAUAAGAAAUCACAUUUCUCUAUUGUUAUAUUCAAGUAAUUUUUUUUUGGAACAUAAAAUGGUAGAUUAAGAUAAAAACACCUUUAUACUACCGAGCAGGGUAUCAAUGACAUGCUGGUGAGACUAAUAUAUGCCCACUUCUAGGUAGGAGCGCCAGGGGAUCUCCAUGAGGAAAGUUUCCCACCAACUGAAAUUUUACUGGAUAAGGGGAUUCAAACUCUAUGGAGAGGUGGGAGUCAAACCCGGAACUUAUGGCUAGUUGUGUCAACCCAAAUUUAAAAAAACUUUUUAAAGUGAAGAUCAAUUUUCUAUUUAUAACAAACAUAAAUUAUUUUCAGAGUAAAGAAAGAUCACACCAGUGAUUUAUCUUGGUUUAUCUUCAUUGACAAAGGCAAAGAAUCAAAAUGAAUGGGUUUUUAGAGAGACAUCCACAAACAAGGAUGCUUAGUAAUGCACUAAAAAUACACAUUGCACAAUCUAGAGUCACUGCACUCUAUCGCUAAAGUAAUAUAAGAUUGUAAGUCCUAGUUAUCAAACCCACGAGACCAGGUUACCAAACUAAUUCUAGGGGGUGAAUGCAUAAUCUAGGUGAAUCAAUAGUUGAAAAGGUUGUCAUGGUGUGAUCAUGCAAACAAUUAUCGGAGAGGAAAAAAGCAAGAAUGAGAAAACCUAGAAAUUGCAAAGACAUUGGAUCAUCUCCCUCGUUUUUAUAUAUUUAUCCUACUUAACUAAUGUGUCAACGUACCCUCUUAAUGCAAUUAACUCAUCGUUAAGUUAUUGCUAAUUGUCCUACUUGAAUGCCCUUUGUACAAGCAAUCAUUCAUUGUAAGGGGAUCAAUCAAACUAGGCAUGAAAGUUGGGAGCAAUCAUUCAUUGCUAAUUGUCCUAAGAGAUGUUUGACUUUCUAAUCAUAGAAAGUUGGAAGCAAUCAAGAACUAAUCCUAAUACUCCGCCAGUAGCGCACCAAAACUAAUUCUUUUUACCUUUUCCCCUAAUUGGUUCUAUAGAUUAAUCUCCCUUUCUAGGAGUUAAUUAACUACUAAAGGUCUGGUUAAUUACUCCAUAUAGAUCACAAUGACAGUCUGAAAUACACAAAAGAGAAACACACAUAACUGAGUCAAAACUAACAUUCAUAAUAACAGGGUGCAAAUUAUAUCCUUACAUUGCAACCUCGAGAGAGAUGAUUUAGCUACUCAUAAUAACUAAGAAGUACAUCGAUAAAAAUCCUAGUAGCUAAAAUCUUACGAAUACACACGAAGGAAGGAUCAUCUAUGCUUCUUCCUCGCUUUCCUCUGCAAUCACUUUUCACAUUCUGACAUUUUCUCACUUUGUACUGCUCUCACUAUCUGCCACCUUCUAUCUCUGAACUGCACUCCUAGCCUCUUUAAAUAGAAAAAUAUAGGUCAAGUCUCGAGGCCUCUGGUGCGCAAGGUCGCACAACCGUUGCUUAGGAAUCACGGUCGUGGCAGCUUCAACGACGUUUGACUUUAGAUAAGUUGGGGAAAGCACGACCGUGAAGCUUUAUUUAAUUGGAAUGGUCAUGGCCUCUAGCAACCACAGUUGUGUUUUUUCGUCAGCACGUGAAACUCCACAUGAGGUGUCAUUUUUGCCUGUAUUUUUCCUCUUUCACUUGUAUUUUGCAAAUAAACUUGAAAACAUUUAAGUUAUGUAUAAAAAAUGCAACAGUGAGGCAUAAAAUCAUUAAAAAAAACAAGGAAUAUCAUGCUUUUUUAAUUCACAUCUAGGAAUGUCAAAAUUACCCACACUCGUGGAUACCCGCGGGUAAAAACCCGUUAUGGGUAAAAUUACCUGCGCCCACGGGUAUCCACAGAUUAAUUUAUUAGAUAUUUCCACUAUUCAUUUAUUAAUGGGGCGGGUACGGAUAUAGAUGUAUCCAUACCCAUAGAUACUCACUCGAUAUAUAAAAUACUAAAAUAUCUUUAUAUAUAUGCGUAGAUGUAUAUUAAGUCUAAUAUCUAGUGAAUUUGUGUUUGAGUUAUAGUUCUCCUUCAAGUAAACUUAUACAAUAGUAAUGGUGAAAAAAAACCCUUAGACCCAAAAAAUGGCAGAAAAGAAGUCUUUUCCUUCACACAUUGAUUGACUGUAAAGUCUAAUCUUAAAUUUUACUUUUAGUAAAAUUUUCUUUUGAACAAAUACAUGUGAAUUCAUUUAUGUUCAUGGAUGUCGGGUGCCCAUGGAUAUCCACGGAUAUUUUAAAAUCCGGUUAAAACUCACUUAAUGAAUAUCUGUGUGGGUAUGAAACGGGUACAAAUAUAAAUUUUUAUAUGUGGAGCGGAUGGUGGGUAUAUACUAUUCAUGCCCACCCGUACCUAUUUACAUCCAUAUUCACUUGGGUCUGGGUUAAAACUACAAAAACGUGCUUUCAAGCAUUCUCUGUAUUAGUGGUAAACGAUUACCCACUUCUAGUAAUAUGUUACCAAAUGUUUUUUUUUUUUGAGUUUUCUUUGAAAUCCGCCUAAUGUUGGUCGGUUACCUGCUUUAGGUAAUCGAUUACCAAAAGUUGCACGACAGAAACUUGCCAAAACCGUAAUUUAAAAGAUUUAGCCCAGUGGUAAAUUAUUACCUAUCAAAAGUUUUUGUCCACUUUGGACUCUAAAAAAUCAUAAAGUUAUUUUACUAAUGUUUCCUAGUCUUUUAACAUUUCACAAAUAUGAUUUAUCCAUUUUUAUUAAGUCCACUAACACAUCAAGCUUAUUGAGUUCUUUUCCUUGGGUUAGGAUCAAGCUUAUUGAGUUUUUAAAGUUUGCACAAGCAUACAUGAGACUAGUAAUAUGAAAAACUAGAAAAGAAUAUUCGACGUAGCUUUCACUUCUUUUUUAAUGGUAGGAUGCGUUGUCCUUUACCAAAACCAUCCGCCAUGGUCAAGGAGCAAGAUCUCUUCUCAUACAAUCCUUAUUUUCCAUCCAUUUAUGUUCUUCAUGAUCAAAACAAGAUAACCACACAGAACAUCAAUUGAAGGUAAACCACAACGUGGCAUAGACCAAUUCAUGGAUAGGGGACGUGCAAGGCUCCACCGAUCCCUACCUCUUUCCUUUAUCUUUGUUUCUAUUACUAUUCUCCAUGUUCACCACUUUAGGCUAGAUAAUCAAUAACGUGAAUGAUAUGUAGUUAGUCAGACUCUUGGCACCAAUAACUUUUAUGAUUGCAAUGAAACUGUGCACCUCUGGGUAUGCAUGGUAGACUACUAUCCAGGGGCGUAUCUAGGUAGGGGCAGGCAGGGGCCAUCGCCCCCAAGAAUUUUGAAAUGUUCACCAACUAUAGGUAUUUUUAUAUAGAAAAUGUUAUAACAUUUUGUGAUCCUCAUCAAGUUAAAGUUCUUGACAUGAAAACUCCUUAUUUUAUGAGUAAUGGUCGUAAUAAGAAACAAGAUAGAGAUAUGGAACAUCACUAUAGGAUAUAUGUAUUUUAUUCUGCAAUUGAUUUGCAACUAGAUAAAUUAAAUGAAAGAUUUAAUGUAGAGGCAGUGAAACUUCUCAUACUUAGUUCAGCUUUAGAUCUUAAGGAAAAUAUUAAAUCAUUUGGUAAUGAGAAAAUUUGUAAGCUUGUUGAGAAGUUUUAUGCAGAUGAUUUUUCUGAGCUAGAAAAGAGAAAUUUGUCGUUCCAACUAAGACAUUAUCAUUUAGAUGUUUCCCGAGAUCCUAAUUUAGGCAAUUUUUCUGAGUAUUAGCAGAAGUUAGUUGAAACUGGAAAAACAACAAUAUUUUCACUUCUUGAUAAAUUGUUACGUCUUGUUUUGACAUUCCCUAUUUCAACAACAUCUACAAAGAGAAAUAUCGAAAGAGAAUUUGCAACAAAAUUGAAGAUUAUCUUCUUAUAAAUUUAUUAGUUGUAUAUAUCGAAAGAGAAAUUGCUGAAAUAUUUUAUGUUGAUACAAUAAUAGGUAAAUUUAGUACUAUGAAAGAAGAAAUAGUUGUAUUUAAAUAAUCUUUUAUAAUUUAAAGUUUAUAUAAUAUUCAAAGAAGAUUUUCUUAGUCUUAUAUUUCGCCCCGCAACAAGAAAAUCCUGGAUACGCCCCUGCUACUAUCGCAAAUGGGUUUGCGUUAUGCCAAAUUUACUAGACGUGGAUGGGUUCAAUACCUCAACCUAUGAGUUCUAACUCAGAACCUGUGACAACCGAAAUUGGCUGGUUAAUCCAAAUUUAACGAUCCCCAUCUUUUAUGAUGAUAAGUCUUGUGUUCUAAAGUACCACUACUUUUCUUUAUAAAACAUGUCCUUCCAAUAUUAGUUAUAGCAUUUAAAUCAAUGUAUCAAAUCAAUAUAUAACUAUUGGAAAACCAAAAAUAUUGAUAAGUAGAGACUGUGUAAUCUUUGUUUUUUUUUUUGGAAAACCAAAAAAUGAUUAGAGACCUAGUAAAAACCGACCAACAAAGGGGGGGAAAAUCCAUAACCCUCCAAAGGAAAAAAGCCGGCAAACCAAAUACCUGUACCACCAGAUCCAAGUCAAUAAACAAAAGAAAGAAAACCCCAACCCUCAUGGUACUAUUGGAAUAUUCAAAGCCUAUUAUAUAUUAAAUGCUGCAAUUAUUAGCAUGAUGAUUAUUUGAACAUUCUUACAUAUAUCUCAAGUAUCAAAACCAAUAAUAUUCAAAGCAUAAUUUUCAUGUUUUUUUUUUGUUGAUAAGCGCAUAAUUUUCAUGUCAUAGCAUGUUGACAACAAUGGGAAUGUGAGUAACAAUUUUGAUAUAUACAAACCCCCCAUCUUUGUAAAAAUAAAUAUGGGAAGCAAUGAGCUCAAUCAGAACUUUUAAGCAACCUCCUGCAGAGAUUUUUUCUUGGAUACUGAUAAUCUGGUAGCAUCUCGUGAAUCAUAACGGGGCACUUUUUCAUUAUAAUGAUCUCUGAGAAAUUCCACAGCCAUGAAUGUUAGCGCAGAAGCCGGAAUGUACCAUGUAAUCCUGGGGAUGCUACCCCUAAACAUCCCCUUCAUCCCUUCCCUAGCCCAUACAUUGUGAAUUGCAUCCAACCAGCCACUAUACCUAAUAUCAUAAAAGAAAGCCAAUUAUCAUCAAUUUAGCUUAGUCCAUCAGAAACAUGAAUGAUACAAAGAAACGAGACAAGGUAUAUCAUAUCACAAAUUAUUAUUCCGUAGAUGCCCAUUAUAUACUAGAAAAUCAACUCUGCAUGAUGCCCAAGCAAAUGAGUUCCACAUAACAAACAAUUAAGAAAACAUAGCAGUAUUCUAGAGGUAGGUACAAAUCACGCAUAUCCACAACCUGUUAGAAUAGUUAGUGAAAAGAAAAUGAUACCUUAAAGUUGAUCCCUGCACUUGCAGCCUUGUUUUGACGACAUCCAAAGGAGUAGUGAGAUAUGCACUCAGGCCUGUUUAAUUAUUUGGAUCAAAAAUUAAUUUACUGCUUGGAACACUGCAAUGCUUAGGAUUGAAGGCAAAGCACAGUACAUACCACCGGCUAAUCCUCCUAGAACUAGUCCCUCGAGCGAAUUACUAAUUUGCCAAUUUGGACUGGAUGUCCAUUUUUGCUUCCCAUACUCCGUGACAUCUUUCAAACCUUCAUAGAACACGACCUAAAAAGAAAGAAAAAGCGUGUAUAUAACAUUAUUCAAAAGAAAAAAUUAUUAGCACUAUAUUACAAAGCUGGGACUGAAUACAGAACCGUAUCCAAGCCCAUGCUGGCAGAAAAAUUCUUCAAUUAAAUUAUCCACCAUUUUUAGUUGCAUGGAAAACAAGUAAGAGUUAAGCUAUCAACAAUUAGACAUUGGUGUUACUUUGAAGCCUUUUGUAAGGCUCAAGUAAUUACCUUCUAGCAGUGUUGUUAAUCACGGAUCACGAAAAACAGCGGAAAGCUAGAAAUCCGCCAUGUCAAGCCCUCAGAGCGGCAAAUAGCGGAUAGCAGUGAGCCCUCAGAGCGUUACGCUAUAGCGCUAUAGCACCACUAUAUCGGCUACUUGACAACAUUGCCUUCUAGAAACAUAAUUUCUCCACAUAUUACAUAAAUUCUAUGAUGACACAAGAGUUGAGUACAUAUAACAUGAAUGCAGUGUUUAGAUAACUACUUUCACUUUAUAACCGAACAGAAAUCCUGUUAGGAUUUUAAAAUAAUGAAUUGUCACCUAAUUUGAUUUGUAUAUGAACUUAAAUGAAUCUUACAUUAAUCAACCUGAAACAAUUUCAUGAAAGAAAUCAUUUUAUUAUCUUUACUUUGGAUUCCAAUAAACAGGAUGUAAACUAUGAUUUAGUACCAGAACAUUUGCUACAACUAUUCUCCUAGGUUUUUGAAAGUACUACGCUUUCGAGGUUUAAAACAUGAUUAUUUAAUUACAGCUUAAACAAUUGCAGGUGUGGCAGGGGAAUUAAUAAACCGGAUCCAAGAGUGAAGAGAAUCAACACAAAAAGAUACCGAUAUGGAUAAGCUCAUAAGACUACCUUCUCAUAUUAGCUUUAUGAAGAAUAUACUUCAACUCUGAAUAUAAAAAAUGCGUCCUUUCUCUCCAAUCUCUAUGUCAAUGCCAAUAUAAAGAUAUUCCUUAGUUAAAAUUUCUGAUUUAUUAGAAUAUAAUAUAAAACCAUUAAAGUGGCCCUUACCUAACAGCUUAAGCUUUUGGGAUAAGCGGUUACUUGACAUGGUAUCAGAGCCUCUAUGACCGAAAGGUCUAGAAUUCGAUCCAUGCUCCCCUCACUUUCUAAUUAAAAAGUGGAAUUUAAUUAAGCACAUGGUAGGUGGGCCUGUGCAUUUAUCCACGCUUCAAGCCCAAAGGGCUCUUGCGUGAGGGGGCGUGUUAGAAUAUAAUAUAAAACCAUUAAAGUGGCCCUUACCUAACAGCUUAAGCUUUUGGGAUAAGCGGUUACUUGACAUGAUUGUCCUAGCCCAUUUAAGGUUUAUAUGAGAAAACUACUAGAGCAUGACAAGGCCGAAGAUGCCUUAGUCACACCACACAAUGGUUUUGUGUGUGUGUGUGUUAUAUACGCAAUCAUGUUCGAUCGGGGAACAUCCAUAUCAUGAUAGGACUAGCUCUCUCAACGGGGUUUUUCCAUUCACAAGACUCGAGCCCGAGACUUUUCUUAAGGGGAAUUAAGCAUGUACCACACAACAGGCUCUUAAAUCAAAAUGAAGAAGGACCAAUGAAGCAAAUAUUUAAAAUUAAUUAACAAAAGAUGAACAUAACUAUAAGAGUGAUUCUAGUAAAACUCUGGGUUAUACCAUUAGGCCAGCAAAUGGAAUGUCCCUCGCCAGUGUAGACAAAUAUCUGCAGAAGCAAGAAAAAUCAUGCAUUAGAGACAUGUUCAGAAUUUAAUAAUUGGUUCAUUAUGAAUUCAUAUAUUAUAUAUGGGUGAGGAUCUGCUCACUCUAUGAAACAAUCUUGACACACUGCACAAAUUAAUUUUUAUUAACAUCGAAUUUCAUCAACUCAACUCUUAAGUUGAAAGUUUUGAUAAAGUGAAUCAAGCUCAUAAAUGUUCAUAUGAUUUUAAAACUAGUUGAUACCUCAUUCAAUUAUUUUAUUUUGACAUUUAUUAAAUUUUUAAAAUUAUAAAUAAAUUUUGACUAUUAGAUCAGAUAUAUAUGAUCCAACUGGUUUAAUUGGUUAAAUGGCAGUCUAUAAAUAGUACAGUAAAUUGGUGUGGAUCUUUAGGAAAUAUAAUGAUUCAUUUAACUUAGCAUUAUCCAAUAUUCACAGAUUCAUUUUACAUCUCACUAUCUGUUCAUGAAGUAAAAUCUUAUCACAUAUUGCCUAUACAAGAAAGCGAAUUAAUCGUGAAAAUGAUGCCUUAUUGUUCCUAGGAUACUAUUUAGUGUUGUGCUUCCACAAACUCUAUCAAAUCAAAAAGGAAUUCAGUAUUAGUGAAUUGAAUAAUUGCAUCUAGCGUAUACCCUGCAUAUAAGCCCUUGAGGCCAUGUGUUUUCCAUAUUGAGCAGCCUGCAUGGAACAUCCCUGUAUAAUAACUAUAUAUUUGUGACCCAGGCUUUAUUGCAGCGCCAUUUUCCCUUGCAAUGGAACUCCAAGAUUUAAUUGUUCCUUGAACUUGCAUACGCUGUUUUAUCACUUCGCAAGGAACAUACACAAUAGAACCGAGAGUAUCUCCUGAAAUACAGAGAAAUAAGGUAGAUUUAAGUCCUUUGUUGUACCUUCAAAUGGUUAUAGACACGAUGCUUAAAAAACAUUCAAAAUUUAGCAAUAAUAAAAAUGUCGAGGGCAGCACGACAUUAUGUAAAUAUGUGUAAUAUGUAAUGAAGAGUGAAGACAAUGUACCAUAACUUGCUUAGGAAAUACCGAACACAAAAAUAAAAUGGGCAGUGCAUCAGAAGGGGAAAAGGUUAAUAUUAGAUAAUAGGGGAAACAUUAUUGGUAUAUUCUGACAGCUACUACAAUGCCCUUUAGGGAGUCAAAAUGCAUAACUUCUAGAACUUAAAAAAUACACAAAUAUUACGAUUAGAUGCUACAGAUCAUCUUACCAACAGCUCCUGCAAUGAAAUGUGCCCAGUGGCCCCUAAGGCUCGGAUGUGAAUCCUCAAUCCAGUUUUUAGUGGACUCUAUGACACCAAAAUAUGUUGCACCAGUUGCUAGAGACCCCGUAAUACCAGGUAGUACACCCCUGUAAAACCCUACGAAAUCUCAAAUUAAUCACAAGGGAAACAAUUUUUAAGUUUGAAGUCCAAAGUGAAAACUAUAAGAUUCAUAAUAAGUUUAAAUCGAGAAAAAAACAAAUGUUAGAUUGAAGCUAUCAGUCAUCUACUUCAAUGCAGCUCUCUUAAACAUUUGGAUUGUAUGCUUUUCUGAAAGCAGAGCAAGUCAAUCCAAACACGCACUAAAUGUGACUUUAACAUGAGGAAAUUCCCUGAGCAUCAGAGGGACAAAAAUAUUAAAUAAUUAAAAUGUGUACCUCUUAAUCCAUCAACUUGCCAGACAGACCGCACCAUCUGCAAUAUGCCUUUCUGGUUCUAAUAGACAAAUGGUGUUCCAAAUGAAGGAGAAAAGCUUUAUUCAAUUUAUCAACAACUAUCAAUGAAAAUACUGUGUAUUUUAUAUACAGGUUGCAAUCAUACCUCAAUUCUAUUUAGAAUAGCUUGACUUUGUAUCCGUGUUUUAACAGUAUCUACCGGAUGCAUAAUUCCUUCCCCAAAAGCACCCGCAACAGCUCCCCAAACAAAUUCUCUCCAUACUUCAACAAUAUCAUAAUAUAAGAAAAUGUUAUUCAAUUAUAAAUUUAAAAAAGGAAAAACAUUGUCGUUGUUUUUCUAUAAGCCAAAAUUCCAUUAAUCAAAAGAACAAGGGCUGCUUCACCCAAAUGCAACAAAAAGAACAAAAUAAACAAAUUGAAGUAAGAAGCUACUGAACUAAAACAAGCUACUAAAUUAAAACAACUAAAAUUGCAAAACAAAUAGACCAAGGGGCACCGCCUGCAACAGAAAAUAAUUAUUAAAGCACUUGCCCCACCCUUCUACAAGUUUCAAUCAACUUAGACACGCAAGCCAAAAUCCUUGCCAUGGCGAAAGAUGAUGGCAGCCCCUGCUACCCAAUCUCGGCGAAUUCCAGCAGCAAACCACGCCCCUUUUUUACCAGCCAAGAACCCAUAUUAACCAAAACUAACUACAUCACACAUGCUGGAAAACAUUGUUAUCGAACAAUUUACUAGUGACCGUAGCCUUUGUUUGAGAGGGAUGAAUGAGAGAGGAGAAGGAGAUUGUUGGAUAGAAGGUGCAUAUUGCAAAGAGAUAUGUUGUGUCACAAAAUAAAGGGUUCUACUUUCAUGCAUGCUUGUACUAGGACCCAACCAAAACCUAAAUAUACAACACAAUCUAGCUCAGUCUACACAUACCGUAUUUGUCUACGUAUUUAGAACAGCUUAUUUUGGGGAGUAAAAGCUAGCUUCUGUAAACUAAUUUCUGGAAUACAAUUAUUACCGGUAGCUUUUUGGGGAGGUAUUUUGUGGGGAAUUUCUUUAACACUCUUUUUUCAACUCUCACCGCCCCCUUUUAUUCUGUAAACUAAUUUCCAGAACACAAUUAUUACCGGAAAUGAAUUUCCAGAAGCAAGUUUUGGUGGGGUGUAUUGAAAAAAUGGGUGCCAAAAAAAGUUCCCACUGAUAUGCCAUAAUAUUGGAUCUCAUUCAAGUACCCUUCCAGUGAAUAACAAAAUCUCGAUCCACACAUAAAAACACAAGCACAAUCAGACACUGUAUGCUAAUGUCAUGACUAUUGACUCAAACAAGCACAUUUAAAUUCAUCUACUCGAUUUCUUUUCAUCAAAUUGGGAAAAAUGAACCAUAAGCAUACACUUGGGUUCAUUUCAUGAUAUCACGUGAUCACAUCACUUGGUCUUAAUUUGCAUAUUAUUACAACAAACAUCCCUUCAAUUUCAAAUAACUACAAAUGCAGCAACAAAGAAAAGGUUCAAAAUUCAUUUCAAAAAGAAAAUCCAAAGCUUUUGAACUUAACAAAUAACAAGUAUCCAAAUAUUGGCACUAAAAUGGCAAUGGAGGUGAAAUUUUGCACCCUCUGUUCCGAAAUUUCAAAUGCUGAAAGCAAAAAAGAAAUAAUUCAUUCAUAUGAAUACACCCAUCGUUGGAAUGCGGAAAAUGAAUGCAAUUGUGAUUCUCCAUAGAAUGAAUCAGUGGCUUACCAAAGAAAUGGCCAUGAGAAUCGCUUUUUGAAGCUUGCGCUUCGCUGGAAAUGGAGCUCUGAACAGCCAUGGAGAAAAGUAACAGCAACUUCGUUUGGUCUAGGGUUUUACUUUAAUUUAGCUUAAGAAUAAUGAUGAAAAGUGAAGAAAUAUUUAAGUCAGAAAAAUAAGUAAAAUAAAAAUAAAAUCAGAAAUUAAGUAAUGAAAUUUUGAUUUAAAUUAGAGGAGUGUUUUACCGUAAAAGAAAAGAAAAUAGAGAAAUUAUAAUGGCUUAAUUGCAACUUUGGUCCCCGACGUUUACCAAUGCCACGAUUUUGGUCCCCCACCUAAUUUAAUUACAUGGAUGGUCCCCGACGUUGUAGGUCGUGUGCAACGUUAGGCCUAUGUUAUAAAGUAAAUCGUGUUACCUUCUUCGUUCUAGGGAGGUCAGGGGUUUGAGUAUAAUGGGUUCAGAUAAGGGUCACGUGAUACUCACGUGCUUCCCUCUCUCCUCAUACCUCAUUUCUCUCUCCAAUUGGACGUCCACGUAAGCCUCCUCCAUUAAGAAAUAAACGGUAGGACUAACGUUGCACACGGCCUACAACGUCGGGGACCAUCCAUGUAAUUAAAUUAGGUGGGGGACCAAAAUCGUGGUAUUGGUAAACGUCGGGGACCAAAGGUGCAAUUAAGCCAAUUAUAAUUUUUUGUGUGUAUGCAAAUUUCUUUGAAAAAUUAAGGUUAAAUCAUGGGUUAAGCAUCAUAUUAGUCACUGUCUUUGUGUCGUCGUCUGAUAUAGGUCCCUCACCGAAAAAAUUAUUGUAAAUGAUCCUCAUGUUUGAAAAUUAUUUGGAGCGGAUCCUCGCCGGAGCCCGGAGCUCCGGCGAGCGCUGAUUUGGCAAGGUGAUGGGGAUAAAAUUGCUUACGUGGAUUAUAAAAAAUUAAAAAAAAAUUACACAUAAUUUUUAUCAAUCCAAUUAACUGAAAUUAAACUAAAUUAACUAUAUAACCCUAAUCUAAUUAACAAAAUAAGUUUUCCCCCAAAUUAACUCAAAAUCCCCCAAUUAACCCAAAUUCUAAAUCUGAACACCCCCAAUUUCAAACCCUAAUAUUUCUUCAAUCUUCAAGCCUCAUUCUUGAAGCCUUCAAGCGUUUACUGCAGCCAGCUAGGUAGCUUCACCUCUACAAGCCUUUCCUCCGCCAGCAAUGGUAGUGAAGAGACUGAACUUUCCCAAGCUCAGAUCCGCCAUGGAACUAGGCAUCGCCGACGUGAUCCACAACCAUGGAAAACCCAUUACCCUCACCCGCACAGCCAUGGUGAGGGUGAGGGUGAGGUUAAGGUUGAGGUUGCAGGUGGGUGAGGGUGAAGGAGGAGGAGGAGGAGGUCGUGGUUGUUGUUGAGGGAGCGUGAGAGCGUUUGGGUGGCUUCACGGUCGAUCCAGGCUUGAAGCUCGGCUUCGAUGGAAGCUGCGACUCAGGAGAUGGAGUGGGCGGAAAGGGUGCGUGAGGAAGGAGCGGAGGCCUUUGGCGUUGUGGAGGGAGUCGAAGGGCAGAGACUGAAAGUCUGUGUUUGGAACCAGAUGAUGAUGUAGAAGAAGAAUAAGAAGCUGAAGAUGAGAUUAAAAGCUAUCAACCAGAUAUGCUCCUUGUAGUAGGCAUCGAAGGAAGGGCUUUGAGUGGCGAAUGGAGUCCACGACGUUGUUUGGGUUUGGAGGGAUUUGAGGCGGUGGAGGUGGUGGGAGAGUGGGGAAUCGGUGGAGAGAGUGGUGUGGAGUUGGAGGUGAGCGUUAAUGGCAGGUGAGUGGUUGGAGGAAGAAGAAGAAGAGUGUUGGAUAUCGUGAGAUGCUUGAAGAUAGAGGAAGAAGAAGAAGAGUGUUUGAGAGCUUGAAGGACUUGCAUAACUUGUGGGAUCAUCUGGGUAUUGUUGUUGAUGUUGGAAGGGAGUUGGGUUUGACACCCCACCUAUGGGGCUUGGCACCCCACUUUAUCAAAUACGGAAUUUAAAAUUCCGUAUUCUCCCUAUUGAAUACGGAACUUAAAAUUCCGUACUGUAUUUAAGCAUGCGUGUCACAUUUUCAACCACUCAUUAUAUACUAAAACAGAUACGGAAUUUUAUUUUCCGUAUUGAUACGGAACUUUAAAUUCCGUAUUUAAUAAAGUGGGGUGCAAAGCCUAAGGGGUGGGGCACCAAACUCAAUUCUCAUUGGGAAUCAUCCAGCUUUUUCUCUUGUUGGUUCUUCCAUGGGGAUUCAAUUCUCACGAUCUUCUUCUUCCUGGAUAAGUUUGAGGGAAUUAAUUUAGUUGAUUAUUAGGGUUAUAAUUAGGAAUAAGUUAAUAUUGUUUAAUAAAUCUGAUUUGUACUCAUCGAAAAAUAAAUCUGAUUUGUGAUUUUUUUUAUAUUUUUGAAAUUUUUUUUAUUCCACAUCAGUUGACUUAACACAGUCAGCUUGCCAAAUCAGCGCUCGCUGGAGCUCUGAACUUCGGCGAGGAUCCGCUCCAAAUAAUUUUCAAACAUGAGGACCAUUUACAAUAAAUUUUCCGGGGAGGGACCUAGAUCAGAUGGCGACACAAAGACAGGGACUAAAAUGAUGCUUAACCCUUAAAUCAUUAUGUAAAAAAAAGACUAAUAUUUGAUCAUGUGAAAAAUGCAAAUUAUUAUCCUGGUGGUCAGGGCAGAAUAAGAUAUGUCAUGAUAGUAAUCAUAUCUUGUUGUUAUUUGUUGUUUGUUGCGCAAGCAGGAUAGGAUAACACUAUCAUGUUUCCUUUCAUAUCAUGUCCAUCAUGUGUAAAAGUUAUCCUCUAAGGGAGAGUUAGGAUUGAACAUGAUAGGAUACUGGUUAUAUAUUUUCUUUCAGUAUCUGAACUCCAAAUUAAUUAAUUUAUAAUAAUAUUAAUUAAUAAAUAUAAAAUAUUAAUUUAACUAAAAUAAAAAAAUAAAUAAAAUUAUUAUUCAUAAAUAGUAAAAUAGACUACUCACUUACAAAUAUUUAUUUAUUAAUAGUAAUAGACUAAUUUAAUAUUUUCAUUUCCUAUUAUUUAAAAAUUAUGUAUCAACUUAUAUAAUAAUUUAAAUAUAAAUUAAUUUUAAAAUAAUAAUAUUUGUAAUUUAGUUAAUUUUUCUUAUUUAUCAUUUGUCACAAUUAAGUUAAAACUAAUUGGUAACAAAUAUUAUUUUUUAAUAGUAAUAGACUAAUUUUCUAUUUUCAUCUCCUAUUAUUUAAAAUUAUUUAUCUACUUAUAUAAUAGUUUAUAAUUUAAAUAUAAAGUACUUUUGAAAUAAUAAUAUUCUUAAUUUAGUUAACUUUUAUUGUUAAUUAUCACGUGUCACAACUAAAUGAAAAUCAAUUGGUUAAUUGCAUAAUUUUAUUUAAAAUAUAGGCUAUCUUCAAAACAAUAAAAUAGGCUAAUUAAUAAAAUUUAAAUUAAUUUUAGUUAUUUUAAAAUAUAGACUCAUUUAUGAAAAUGUAUAAAAAAAUAAAUUUAAAAGAAUGAUCAAUUUUUAAAUGUAUUUUUUAUUCAAAUAUAAAUUUGAUACAUUUUUCCUUAUCAUAUCUUGUCCUUAUCAUGUGCACCUCAAACACAGGAUAGGAUAAGAGUCUAUCUUGCUCUAAUCCUAUCAUGUUGCUAUCAUGUUCACAUAUCAUAUCCUAUCAUGACCACCAAACGAGCCAUUAGUCCCUAAGCUUUUUAAAAUGUGUAUUUCUUUCCCUAAACUUACUAAAAUGUGUAAAAAAAAUCUUUCUAUUGACUUUUCUUUUAAGUUUUAAAAACCAGGCAGCGAAGAACAGUCAUGGGUAUGAGCUCUACUAGGGUUUCUAUGUCUGCUGGUGGUACAGAUGGCACUUCGCCGGAGGAACUUGACCUUCUCAGUCGGAGUACGUUUAAGGUAAAAGAAACCUCCGGGCACAAUGUCACUGUGAGGAAGCCUUUGUCAUAUAGGGAUAUUGUUUCUGGCAUUAAGGGUAGGGAUGAUGGUGUGGAGGAUGAUGACUCUAUCGACAACUCGGGUUCUGAGAUGGAGGAAGAAGAGGACUCUGUGGGGAGCGAGAACGAGGAGGAGCCGAUAGUAAGGGAGGAGGACCCAUUGCGUCCGGUCAUCAAAGUUACAAAGUAGGAGAUCAAGGAAGCUAGAGAUCAGUGGAGGAAGGCGAUCAUAGUCAAGCUUGUAGGAAAAAAGUGGGAUUGGGUUUCCUGAAAGGGAGGCUUGCUCGAUUGUGGAAUCCUUCGGGAGAUACGGAGGUCAUCGACUUGAACCAUGACUAUUUUGUGAUCCGGUUCAGUAAUGUUGUUGACUACAAUCAUGUGUUUGAUGGAGGUCCUUGGUUCAUACUAGGGCAUUAUAUAUCUUGUCAUCCAACAAUGGAAACCAAAGUUCAAGCCUGCAAAAGGAGAGCUACGGAAGGUAGUUGUUUGGGUGUGCAUCCCUGACUUCCCUAUAAAGUACUAUGGCAAGAACUUCCUCUAGAGGAUUGGGAAAUGUAUUGGUAGAAUGGUCAAAAUUGACAAUCUUACUUUGAGGAGAGCCCAUGAAGAUAUCUUAUCACCAAAAGGAACUGUGAGAGGUUGUAACGCCCCAAUUUCUCAACUGAGGAAUCACAUUAGUAAUCUAACAAAGUCUAAGGACUAUUCUGCAAUCCCUAAAAUCCAAGGGUAAUUUUUUUGAAAAUGAGAAUGAAUAUCAUAGGGUUGGAAACACACGAUAACUUUAUUUAAAUAACCUGUUUCCCGAUAUAUAGUAAUAAUAGCUUACAACACCAUAAGUAAGGUUCAGAAUAAACAUGCGCACUUUAACAGUGGCGGAAGCAAGGCUUUAAUAACAGAGUUCUCCUAAAGAAAGGGAGACUCAAACAUAAUCCACAAGAAGAGAAGCAAAGUUGCUUCUCGCACCUCUACUCCAUCGCUUACGACUCGAUCUCCAACUCGAGCAGCUAAGCCUCGGCGGAAGGAUCUCCAUCGCCUAAUAGCGUUAAGCGCCCAAACAACAAGUAGCAAAUAGAAAGGGUUAACUCCAUGCAAUUACCAUGUAUAAAAGAGAAAAUCAUGCUAUUCAAAUUUAAUGACCUAGCAUGGUAAAUGAACUAGCAUCAUAACUCAACUCAUAUAUCAUCAACUUAACAUCAUAACAUUUAUUCAGGCAUCAACAAUCCUCAACAAUAUAACUACAAAUCAGAUAUCAAUAAUCCUCAACAAUAUAACAACAAGUCAGAUAUCAAUAAUCCUCAAUAAUGUAAAUCAAACUAGAUAUCAACAACCUCAACAAUAUAGAUUAACUCAGCUAUCAACCACUUAACAUAUCAGAUGACAAUAAAACCAACAAUAUGAGUCAAUCAAUAACGUCUCAAAAGACGGGACGAUGAUAGGACCACACCUCCUCAUCGCCACUUAUAACGUCUCACAAGACGGGACAAUCAUAGGACCACACCUCCUGAUCGCCACUUAUAGCGUCUCACAAGACGGGACAAUGAUAGGACCACACCUCCUCAUUGCCACUUAGCGUCUCACAAGACGGGACGAUGAUAGGACCACACCUCCUCAUCGCCACUUAGCGUCUCACAAGACGGGACAAUGAUAGGACCACACCUCCUCAUCGCCACUUAGCGUCUCACAAGAUGGGACAAUGAUAGGACCACACCUCCUCAUCGCCACUUAGCGUCUCACAAGACGGGACAAUGAUAGGACCACACCUCCUCAUCGCCACUUAGUGUCUCACAAGACGGGACAAUGAUAGGACCACACCUCCUCAUCGCCACUUAGCGUCUCACAAGACGGGACAAUGAUAGGACCACACCUCCUCAUCGCCACUUUAUAACGCCUCGAAAGACGGGAUAGUCAUGUGAAAAUAUCCACUCCACUACCACUUCAAGCAAGUCAAACAUUUCAUCCAACUCAGUAGUCACUCAAACAGCAAUCUCAAAUUCAAUAAUCAAAUCAACAUAAUCACAUGUUACUCAUAAUCACAACAUUCGUACAAACACAUCAAGCUCUAUUGAGCAAUGAAUCAAUAAUUCAGUGCUGGAAAAGAUAACCCUGUCAUAUCAACUAGAAAGCAGUAAUGACAGAAACCAGUAAACGGCCGAAGCCUCUCAGAAAACGGAGACACACGUCUCAAUAAGUUUACUCGGCCGAAGCCUUCAGAAAACGUUUGGCACAAGCCUCAGAAACAGUCAAUAUAAGCAAGCAUACAACAUUGCAAUCAUAAUAAUCAUAAUCCAAUGCCAACCAAUAUAAACAUCUUCAUCUCAAACGCAGGCAGUGCGAUAAAUACAUGCAAGACUCAAGGACACUCUAAAACUGAGUUACCCUUACCUUCGUGAGUAGAAGUUGUGCAUGAAAGUUGUGAACCUAGAACAAGGAAACACAAUCAUCAACACAAGCCUCACUAGAAACAACACUAUCUAAUAACACUAAUCGAAAUCGUAAGGAAAGCUUUUAAAGCUUCAGAGUUCCUAUUUAAGCUCAAAUUGACAACGGAGACUUCGUUCGCUAAAACGAGCAUACCUCGAGCUACAGAACUCGGAAUGACACGAAACCAGCGCCAAAAUCUCGACAAUCGAAAGAGGUACGCUAUAGCUCAGGUCAUAGAGACUCAAAAAUUAUUUUUGGACACGGUACCCUAACAAAUAGGUUUCGGCCACUCUCAAAAAUAGGGUUUCCGAACUUUUUCUUCGAUCUAAAUCGAUUCCUAGGUAUUCUUAGGCGAUAUCUAGGCCAGGGAAACUCUCAGAAAAAUUAUCGGAUCGAAAACUGUCGCAGGGGUAUUUUGGUCAAUAUUUUUAGCUCGGAAACUCAAAAUCAGAAUUUCGAAAAACAAAUUAGAUGGGGUCGACACCAACGACGAUUAUGACGACUAAUCCUACUAACGCUAAGCUCAGUCGAGAGUUUUAAGCCCAAAGGAUGGAACUUUAGCCAAAAAUGAGUAUUAUGAGCAGAAUUGAAAUUCGGCGGCGAUUCGAUGAGAAUCGGCGAAAUGAAAUCCGCUAAACAUGCUCAGGGGCACGCAGGGAAUAAGUUUAGACAGAGAAAUCAAGUUAUUUGGACAGUUUUACAUAAAGCUCAAAACUUUGAGCACAGAGAAACAUAGAGAAAAGCGACAGAAUUUACGAUCAGAGGUAAGGAAAAGCAUCAGUACCUCGAGGCCUACGCGUAGCAACGAACUGUGGAACGAUCAGGCAAGAAUCGGCAAAAAUCACUUCUCCUCCUUCCUCCUUGGAAGCCCACGGCCGUGUGUGUGUGUUUUGUGAUGUUUUUGAUUUUUUUUUUUUUCAUUUAUCAAGCUAUUUAUAGGUUUUGGAAAAUGCGGAAAAAUGAAAAUUUCGCGAUUUCGAUUUCUCCUGUGCCAUCCUCUGUGAAUUCUAAGAUAGGUUCUGGCGACAGAAUUCCAAAACUCAAAAGAGGUUUCUCAGAAUUAAAGCAAACGAUCCGAAGUCGGUGUAAAUCUAUUUUACCCAAAAAACUACUUUUUGCAACGAAUGUCAGAUGCAGAAACUUCCUUCUGAAGAAAGAUUGGAAACAUCGAAAGAAAUGGGUGAACGCGUGUGGAAUCUUCAUUUGAAGGUCCGAAUAGAAAAAGUCUUCAUCAACCGUUUAUUUUAGGUUUCUUGAGCUAUCAGGGUUUUAGUUUCGGCAAACCUCCGAGAAUUAGAAUCGGACGUUCGUACAUUCCAGGGUUUCGUAUCAAAACGCUUAUCAUGGAAGGAUUAAGAGAAGUUCUAACAUUUCUCUGAAGAUUUUUGGAAUUAGUUUCCAUCGUGCCUUUAAGUGCAAAUUAGUCGUUUACUAACGUUUUCGCCCUAAGGCGGAAGUGAAUGAACUCGUGCUAUAGCCUAUAGCGACUAUAUAACUAUUCUUAACCAUUUCCUGAACUUUCUUCUUCAUAAUAUUAAUCCAACCAUCAAACGAAAGUCAAGUUCCUCUCACGCUUACACAUAAUCCUGUGCGUGAGUUGGAAAUUAUUUAUUUAUUUAAUUCUAAAAUCCUGGGUCUUACAGAGGUCAUUUUGCUCGUAUUUGCGUUGAGGUAGGUAUGAGGAAAGCGUUGGUGGCCAUGUUCUCGUUUAACGAUCAGACUUAUGGAGUGAAGUAUGAGGGGGCUUGAACAAAAUCUGCUUUCGUUGUGGUCAUUUUGGUCACAAGGUAGAGGGUUUCCCUAUGCUUGUGAGCCCGGUAAUGGUGGUGGAUGCCUCGAGGGGAAAUGGCCUAGCCAAAAGAACCAGGUGGUGAGCGAUCAGCCUUUUGGUGAGUGGAUAAGAGGCCAGUUGCGGCGGCGGCAGGAAACCCAGGUAGGAAGGAGGCGAAUUGUAAGACCCUAAAAUUAUUAAAUAAGUUAUCAUGAAAUAAGUAUGUUAUUACUACUAAGAUAGUAUAUAUAUAUAUAUAUAUAUAUAUAUAUAUAUAUAAUUGUUUAAUCUUUGUAUGUUGCCUGUUUUUCAUGCAUUGAUUACUGUCAAUUGAUUUACUAUUUUCGUAAUUAUGAGGAUGUGUAUAUAGCAUGAAUACAUGGAAAUAGGUUGUUACUGUUGCUGUUGUUGUUGUUGGUUUAAUAUUGGAAAAACAACAUAAGUUUUAUUUAUGUAGUUAGUCGUUAGUAAAAUGACAGAAAUUAUUAAUAUUUAGAAAUAGACUUAGGUUAAUAAUUUAAUUAAUCUUAUGAGUCAUAAAAAUAAAAAUAAAAUUUCAAUAAUAGGGAUAAAUUUCGUGGUUUUCGAAAUUAAAGAUUAGGGAAGAGAAAAGUGGGUUACGAGCCUAAUUUGGAGUUGUUUAAGAGCUUUUUCAUAAAAAUUGAUUAAACCUUUUAAAAAUUGAAAAGGUGAUACAAAAUUUAAAUAAAAUUAAGAUUAGGUCUGAGGUGACUCAAAAAUAAUUAUUUUAUUAAAAAAAUUAAUUUCUUAAAUAAUUCGUAAUCGUUUAAUUUAAUGAUAUUAAGGUAAUUUAAAGACUAUAUCAUUAGCAUAUCUUAGAUAAAUUUGAAAUUUAGGUUAGUAAAAAUAGUAGAUAAUAUCUGAAUAUAACCAAAAUUAUUUUGGAGCGGAAAAUUGCUUAAAUUCUGAAUUUUUGAAUUUUAGUGAUUAAUUUAUCAAUUAACCUUGUUUUGACUUAAAACUUAAGCAAAAUAGGAGAUAAUGAUUUGAAAUUUUUUAGGGGACUUCUAUAAGGUGUGGGAAACCUGGGAGAAUGAAUGUGAUCAACUUUUAGGGUUAAGGGAAUUUAUUUUAUGAAUUUACCCUUUUAUUUUAAUUAAUUUCAUCAAAUUAAGAUAUAGUAGCUUGAAGGGCAAGCAAGCUAGGUUAACUUGGUUCUAGAACUUUGGAGAAGCUUCUAGAGAAGUGAUAUCUUAAAAAUAUAUAAAGCUCAUCCACCAAAGUGGGUCAUAUUACUACAUAAUUUCCACAUGUUUGCAUUUUAUUGGUUGUUGUCAUUGAAUUUUCAAAUGGCAUCGUCUGAUUGGUCUACAUUGUUUAAUUUUCACUAGUCGAAUUUAAUGAGUCAAUAAAUCAAUCAAUAAUUAAAUUAAUCAAUAAAUAAAUUUUCAUUUGAUGAUUUUGAUUGGUCCAUUUUGAUGACUCAAUAAACAAAUAAAUUAAAAAAUUAAAUCAAGUUUAAUUAGGAAUAUUCUAAAAAUGAUCACACAUGUGGAAAAUCAUCAUUUUGUCAUUAAUCUUUAUUUUACCCUGAAUGUGAUACUAUCUUUGGAAUUAACGGUUAAAAAAAAGUAAAAAAGAAGCAUAUUUUUUUUAAAACUAAAAAGAAGCAUAUUUUACUAAUUCUUUUUUAAAUUGAUAAAUGUAUCACAAUCAAAAAAAUUGAUGAAUGUAUACUAUACUAUGUUCUUGAACGUGAAUUGAUAGUAUGUAAAACUGCUUUAUGAUUUUUUCUUUGCAGUUGGAGAUGGUUAAAGCCAAAAUUAAGGCACCAAAUUCAAAAGAGGAGGUUGAAUCACUCAAGUUUACUAAAAAGCACCUAAUUAACAAGGUAUGGAUGGAAGAAGGUGUAGUUUGCACAAAUUUGUUUGAGAUAUUGUUACUAUUUCCGAGAACUAGAAGGUGUAGUUUAGUGCAAUGCUGGUCAUGCUCCUUCAGUAUACUGGCAAUUUGAAUUAUUAUACUUCCUGAAGUUGUUAUGAAGAGAUGUAGAAAGAAUAUUACAUUUCUUUUCACCUGAAAUUGAGGGACCAAAUUCUCGGUGCAUUCAUGGCCACAUUGCAUUUUUUUAUUGUUUAUAAUUGGUAAUUUUGACAAAAUCAUUGUGCCAUUUUCCAAAAAAUUUAAAAUUUAAAAUUUAAAAUUGAGCUUUUUUCGAAAAAAACGAAAUCAAUGUUUUCUCUUUUGAAAAUUUUUUAAUUUUCCAAAAUUGCACCUGAAAUUGGGGCUAAUUUGUACUUCAGAGGAUCCUUUAAGGAUACCAAGCAUGGCUGAGGUUGUCCAUAAUCUAGUUUUGGUUUUCCUUUCUCUUUCUAUCACCUUCUUCAUUGAUCAGCAAAGCCAAGCCAUGGAUCCAAAUCCAAACCGAAACUUAUCCACUCCAACUUGGAAGGUACUCACUAACAAUGUUUGUCACGCCCCCUUCCUUAUGUGACGAAUUCGCCCUAACUCCAUCACUUAGGAGUGAGCACGCGACGUGAACUAGUGAAUUUUUUUUUUCUACUUAGGGUUCUUUCAUUAGAUUGGGGUCGCAAGAGUAAAGUGUACUCGCGCACCCCCUUCUCAUCCCCAGGUAAUUGACCUCCUAACCUAAGACUACGGAUAGCAACGAUAUAAACCACACAGAACAUCCAUAGCAUGCAUAGUUGGUGAACGGAUCCACCGCAUAAGUCUACAGAUAAGAAGACAACAACACAUAAAGAGGACAUAGUGCCCUCAAGCACAUAGUCUGGUACAGGAAAUCAAAUACAGAAAUGGAAACAUAAAUCAUCAUCAUCAUCAUCAUCAUCAGAAACUCGAACCAUACGACUUCACCCCCUCGGAUCUUCCUCCUCUGGAUCCUCCUCACUGACUCCCUCACCGGCUGCUGGCACUAACACUGGCUCUGGUAUAGGACCCUGCUCUGAAUCUCUGUCUCCGGACGCCUCGCCUCUCUGGAGUCUGCGACGGUAAAUCCUAGCAUUUCGGGAGAAUCUAGGGGACCUCACUCGCUUGCGGGCCGUGAGCCGAAAGCAAGACAAGUUCCUCCGGGGUGGAGGAGAUCCCAUAGACUCCUGGGUCUGCGGAACCCUCUGAUCAUGAGAUCCCUGUGGACUCACCACGGUGACUGGUAUGGCUGGGACAGGCUCUCCGGUCUCCAUAGGCUCGCCUGCCUGUGGGUAUGGCACCUGUGGGCUGCCUGGACUCUGCAGACCAACGUGCUGCGCAUAGGUCGGCAAAAAGAAUGAGAACACCAUAGGGAGCGUCACAGGAAAAUCGAUGUGCCCUGCUCCUGGAUCCCUGCACCACAAAAUCGUGAAUCCCUGAUAAAAGCAGUAUCCUGUAACUGGGUCAACAUGCCAGCCAGCACGGGACGGGAAAUCAGCGUGGAUCGCGAGGACUGGAGGGAUGCUCAUUGUCACACCUGUUAUCUGCUUUUAUAAAAUAAGUGCAAGGGUGAGUCAUACGCAACUUUGCACAAUAAUACACAUCAGAUAAGAUAAACGCUAAAACUCAAGUUAACAUAUCAUCAAUUACACACAUGUUAACAAACACAAGUAAUAAUGCAAUAUGAUUAAAUCAACCUUAUUCCUCCGUCCUUCGAAUUGACUUCUCUCACUACUUCGUAGGAAAUGGUGAGUUCAUCGCCAACCUUUUUAUUAUUUUCUUUAUCAUGUGAUGAGUAUGAUUUAAAGGGCCCGAAGCUAUCGCUUCGUUAUCUUCGGAAAGUCGUCUCGGAAACAUGGACACUCCUUAUAGUCCACUCUUUACCGGACAAUGAUCGCUCAGUAGCUCACAGACAGAAGUACACGACGCAAGUCUUUGCCUUAAGCAUCAUGCCAAUCCCGACCUCAGGGGUCCUGCCGGAACAAACAUGAGAGGUGUACUGCCGUGUAAAUCCCGGGUCAAUUCAUCUCUGAACAUGACCACCUUUGGCGUCUCUGUAUUCCCACUCUCUUAGUGGUAGUGACAGUACUUUCCUACUCCUUAUUGCUCCUAAGUGUAUUUUCAAGUAUCAAUCGUCUCCCCCUUAUACUUCCAUUAAGUUUCUAAUAAAUUAGAAACAAGCAUCUGCUGCCUUACUUUGAGUAAGUACACCAUAAUUAUUAUAGAAGUGGGAUCUUUAACAAGAUCAAGUAGUUUUAGGAAUACAAGCGGGAGUUCUAAUCCGCCGUUUAAUGGUUAUGUACUUCUAAUCGCUUAGAGAAAAAGGGCUCACAUGCCUAUUCCAUUAUCAUUAUUUAUUUAUUUACUUUAUCUAUCCUACGGGUAAUCCUAAGGUGUUGUAGGUAGGUCGAUUUCCAAAAGCAAGUAUCGAUAACUCAUUAAAUCGGGGAUUAUCCUUUCCCUCUUCCCACUACCUCAGAUGCUUCAACGUAUCAGAGACAAUCCUGAUACCAUGCCAUUUAGGCUCAUAAUCUUAAGUAUCACUAUAUCCCAUAGUGUACUGUCAUCCCUUUCUACUGUGCAACACUUCAAGCACGAGUCAUAAUCACAGCAAUUCAGCACAACAUUUCAUCCAACAGUCACUCUUCAAGCACAACAUUCAAUCAUGCAUCUAAUAACACAUAAGCAAGUAAUAAUAUGCUUUCUAUCGUAAUAACGAUUUACUUAUGAGUUGUGUACCAAGACAAGGUCUUGUAUAACCCCCCUUACCUUUAUCGUUUACCAAUUGAGGAUCUUGUAGGUCUGAGAUAGCUCCCUCUGCAUCAUUGAUUAUGCUUGGGUUACGAUAGGCUAAUCAAGGCAUUUAAAUCGUUCGUUAUUAUUAUUAUUAUUAAUAUUAUUAUUAUUAUUAUUAAUAUUAUUAUUAUUAUUAUUACUAUUACUAUUAUUAUUAUUAUUAUUAUUAUUAUUAUUAUUAUUAUCUAUAUAAUAUACUAAAUGAAGGUUUUUUUCUAGAAGGUUUUCCACGUGUCACCCCCACAUCAUCCCAAUAAAAAAUAUACAAAUUUUGUUUUUCAAUAUUAAAUCUGCAUUAAAAAAACAAAAACAAAAAAAAAUUGUUUUCUUAACUUUGAAAUUUAAUACAUAGUUUAAAAAAAAAUCUUUUAAAUUGACCAUGAGUUUUGAAUUUUUUAUUAUAAUGCUAUAAAUUGUGUACAUAUAAUUUAAUUAUAGUAAUUUAAGACAGAUUUUUUAUAGAUUGACCACAAUAUUAAAAAAAACAAAAUCUUUUAAAUUGACCAUGGGUUUUUAAUUUUUUUAUUAUGAUGCUAUAAAUUGUGUACAUAUAAUUUAAUUAUAGUAAUUUAAGACAAAUUUUUUAUAGAUUGACCACGAUAUCAAUUUUUUUCAUUAGAGUGUUAUAAAUUGUGUCAAGCAAGAAGUACUGUGCAAUACACAGUGUGAGGAAGAAAAAAACGGCUGUCUUUAUGAUUUUCUUUUGCAAAUAAGUUUUAUUCCUUCUUUUUGGUUGGCUUCUUUGAAUUUUUAAGACUUUUCUCCUUGAUUUGUAGGUUGAAGUAAAUAACUACAGGUUCUCAAAGACAGGUUCAAUCGUUGAUCGGUGUGGUUACUUUGAGAGACUUGACAAAAUCACUCAGGUCAGGUCAGUGCUACGAUAUGUCAAUCAAAAACUGAUGUAGGCUUGAUUGGCUUUCUCUACCUUUUUUCACCACAAGUUUACUUUUCUUUUUUUCAAUUUUAUAUUUAUUCAUUCAAACCGUGACUCUAUUAUUAUAUAUUAAAAAAAAUUAUUUCUUCCCCUAUCCCAUACCACGUAGGUGCCCCAAAAUCAUUUUGUUUCCCUCUAAAACAAUAGAGAAUAUAUGUCAUAUUCCGUCAAAAAAAAUUAUAUAUGUCAUAUGAAUCAAAUAUAAAUUUCCACUAUUUUUUUAUUUUAUAUGAAAUGAAUUAAUAAUUAUAAUAAUGAAUAAAACCAGUAUUUAUUAUUGCUUUAAAUAACAUAUUCAGUGGCAAGUAAUACAUUGUGAAAUUUUAAAUCUUGGACGAACAUUGUAACCCCUUUUUCCCAUUUUUUUAUUUAAAAACGUUUAUCAGAGUUUAAAAACAUAUCAAGGGAGUAUUACACUUCUUCACGAAAACUCAUUAAAAUUAACACUAAUUGUGUUUGAAAAUUUAUAAGUUCAUAUGCUUUCCAAAGAAUGAAUUAUUUCUGGCAAUAAAAUUUCUAAACCAGCCAGAUAAUCCUAAGAUGCAUAAAAUCACUUAUUUAAAUAGGUUUAUCUUCCUUGAUAUUCCAAUAAAAUUCAUCAUACUCAAAACUGAAUUUCAUAGGCACUUCGGCCAUCAACAGUACGACAUCGCCAUAAUUUAGAAAAUUAUUCAACAACUUCCAUAAGGAGAGGUUAUAAAAUCCUCUCAACAGAAGCGUAAAAGUAAUGUAAAAUAUCUACCCAGUGUUACAUUACAGAGCAAGACACUUAUUUUAUAAUAAUAAUAAUAAUAAUAAUAAUAAUAAACUAAGACUCUCUGAAGCUACUCCUCAUGAGCCACAUCUCUAUCUCCAGUACCUGAGCGAUGUCGCAUAGAACAUCAUUCCAACAGAAGGGUAAGAACUUACAUUGUAUAAAAUAUAGCAUAACAAAGAGCAAGUAAACAAUUCAGAUCCUACUUUAUAAACUCUCUUCACCUUUUCUUUAAAAUCUGAGUGAUUAUAAUAUUUGCUCUCAAGACAGUUUCAUCAUUCUUAUUGUUGUUUCGGAAAAUUAUAAGUUUUAAGAAGAAGAAUAAUUCGACUUUACCACAACAGCAAAACAAUUCACCAAAAAAUCACCAAACACAUAAAACCACUGAAAACGUGAAACUUAGUGUGUGAGACUCUAAUGUAUGCAUGUGGUACCAAUUGUUAACCUUAGCGGUAUCACCGCGUCCACUCCAGACAGUUAACCACCAAUGAAGUCUACUCCAGACUUCCAGAACCACGCCAGUUCUGGGACAAACCUCAGUUUUCCGAUGAAAACCGACAUGUUGCCUCUUGAAUAAAUGAAGUGUAUUUCGUGCAAAAACUCAUAAAUUAAAACAUGCAAUUUGAGACCACUCCAGCCCCAAAUAUAUAACAUAUUUUCUCACCAAAUUCCAUAACGGAAAUCACACCAAAAUUGCACAAAAUAACACUUCAAUAUAAUUAUCAAAUCAUUCACUAUUCCACCAACAUACUAGCAACACAAAAUCAUCAAAUGUUUCACAUCAAUUACCAGAAUCAGUUUCAGAAUCAAUCCCAGAAAUAAGCAAAAACAUAGCAAACUUGCAUAUAAUCCUGGUACUAAAUGAGCAGUCCAAAAAUUAUGAAAAUUUUACCAAACAUAGCCUUAUACGUUAUCUUUCAUAUAAAAUUCGUUUCACCCAAUUUGGAAUUCUGUAGAGAGAGUUAUGCUCUCUACAGCACAGGCUGUUAGGGUGUCUGCGAGCAGAAACAGAGUGAACUUGCAGAUAAUUCUGGUAUUGAACCAACAAUCCAAAAAUUAUUAAAAUAUUACCCAAUAUAACCCUAUGAGUUAGCUUUCAUAAAAAAUUAGUUUCACUCAAUUCGGAAUUCUUUAGAGAGAGUUAUGCUCUCUACAACACAGACUGCUAGGGUGUCUGCGGGCAGAAACAGAAUGAACUUGAAAAUGAUUCUGGUAUUGAACCAGCAAUCAAAAAAUUAUGAAAAUAUUACCCAACAUAGCCCUAUGAGGUAGCUUUCAUACAAAAUUGGUUUCACUCAAUUUGGAAUUCUGUAGAGAGAGUUAUGCUCUCUACAACACAGACGGUUAGAACAGAACCCAAUUUUCCCCGGAACCUCAAUUUCGCUCAAAAUCAAUUUUGCUCACCACAUGUUAACACUCAACACAGUCUCUCAGUUCUGAAUUUUCAAAGAAGAUGGAGGUUCCUUCAUGUUAAACAACCUCUGUUAUUCUACAAUUAUACAAGGUAAAUUCAAACCCUUACCUUCUAUGACACCGGUACAAAGCCUCCUUGACCCUUUUCUUCUUGAAGAUCAAAUUCUAGGUUUUCUCCACCUUUUCUCCUUUCCUUCACGUUUCACGUGUUUCUCUGUUCCGCUGCUUCUCUAAUCCUAAUUUUUUGAUUUCUCUCUUUUUAAUUCUCUCAUAACCCUUAAAUAAUCUUACAAUGGGCCGAAAAUCUUUUCAUCUGCCACCCAAGGGAACCCUACCACUCGCACAGCGCCACCGUCAAGGAGACUUUCAACGGCGGAGCCGCUUAACGCGCCGGCGAAUCCUUUGACUUUGUUUCAGCCCGCCGUCAAGAAGUCCAUCACCUUCACGCUCGAGUGCUUUGGUGAUGCUCUGUUCACCCCUGUUCUUCAUUCCGCUGUGGUGGUGUUCUGUUUCUUUUUUAGAUGACCUUGGUAUGGUGUGUAAUGGGUGUCAUCCAAUCCAUACAUGAGAGAGCAUAGAGAGAACAGGCCAAGGUGGACGCCGCCGGCACGGCGGUUUCGGCCAUGGCAGGAGGCCGGAAGGGGAAGCGAUCAACGCUAUCGGCCAUGGAAAUCGCCAGGCUUUGGUCGCAAUCUGAGUUACAACAAAGAACGAUCCUUUUGGCAGCAAAGCGAUCAUCAGAAACCUUGGUUUCAGCAGCAGCACCGUCCGGGAAUGCAUCGGCACCAAUCUGGCAGAUCGAAACAACAAAGGCAACACGUGAAGGCACAAUAUGGUGGCCAAAAGUUUGAUCAACCCAGAAUUCAUAACCAAGGUAACCAGCACAAAGUAAAGCAACAGCAAACUGCAAAGCAGCAAACAGGGUCUUUCUCAAUUUUUGUGGAUGGUUUGGGGGAUAGGGUCACUCAUGCUAAACUGAGAGCAAUUUUUGAGAAGGCAGGGCGUGUCCGUGAUGUUUUUAUCCAACAAAAAAGGAAGCAUCAUCGCCGGUUCAGAUUUGGUUUUGUGUGUUUUAUAAGUGAUGAUGAGGCCAGGGCUGCGAUACGAAAGCUCCAUGGUUUGCGACUUGAAGGUAAUUACCUGGUGGUACAGAAGGCGAGAUUUCAGAGGCCUCCCCAAGCUGCUCCAGUUACGUCUCAAGGGCGACAUCAAUAUGAAAUCAGAGGUAAGAUAUGGAAACCAAAGGAAGCAACUUUAGUGAAAAAACAGGAAACGGUAUCCCCGAAUCAGCAAGGUUUUGAGAGGACUCCUGAAAAGAAAGAGAUAUGCCAAUUGCAAUUUGCUGCAACAGAUAUGGAUGAGAAGUGGGUUCAGCGGUGUGCACAGGCUCGAAUAAUUUCACUCAAACCGGUUGAAUUUUUACAGGAAGAGUUUAGACAAAUUGGCUUAUUCAAUUUCAGACUAAUUCCGCUUGGUGCGAAUGAGGUACUGUUGGAAUUCGAAAAAAAGGCAGAGAUGGAAAGCACUAUCUCGGAAUGUGCAUUUUUUCUGGAACAAUUGCUUACUGAUGUAAAACCAUGCUCUAUGUUCACUUUCGGUACGUCGCACUUCGUCUGGAUUCGAUUAUGGCAAAUUCCGAUGGGCUUAUGGAAUGAGGUUUUCUUUGCUGCCAUAGGAAAUAAAUUGGGAUGCUAUAUCUUGUCCGACACUGCAACCGUGUUGAGACAUCGGGCUGAUUUUGCACGUAUACUAGUACGCAUGAAUCAUCCGAUUUUACAUUGUUUUACAAUGUCUGUGGAUGUUGGAGGAACGUCGUGCAUUAUACUGGUUGAGAAGGACGUGGAAGUUCCUGAUUACGACGUCGUGGAGGAUAUGUCGUCCACGCCGGCAAAAAUCUAUAACUCGGAGGAGGAAACAGAUGAAAAAGAUGAUGAUGCUAUCGUGAAUGGCAUCAAAGAUGAGGCGUUCAAGCUUGAUGAUGGUGGAAUUAAUCAUGAUUCUCCACUUGAAAAUAAUCAGGUUUCGGCCACUGAUAUCGACCCUGAAGAAGAGGAUGAGAUUUUUAGGGAUGGCGGUCUUGAAGGGUUGCAAUGUUAUGGAAAGGACGGAACUUUUUCGGAGGUGCUUGAUGGGGAAGAUAAGUCGCCGGGGAAGGAGGCUCCUACGGUUGCACCGCCGGUGGAGGAGGAAUCCUUGGGGCACAAUUCAAAUUCCACAACUUUAAUGGCAGCUUUCAAUUCUAUUGAUGAACAGCAGCAACAGUUACGUGAAGAACAACAGCAACUACGUGAUAUAAUUGACUCUGGCUAUUCUUUGGAGGAGAUUGAGGGAUGGAAAAAGAGUGUAAAAGCUGAAGGAAUUUUGAGUAAAGAAAAACAAAUCUUGACUAAUCAAAAUCAAGAGAAAAGAUAUACAGUUACAGGUUUUUCUUUUAAUUCCCAAGAUUUGUUUCAAAAUAACAAUAUUUUUUGGCCUUUUAAUUCAGCUUGCAGGGGCCCACAUUUCAAUAAUCAGAUUUCAGGGUUAAGGGCGUGUUUACCCAUUCAGUCUAGCAGCAAAAAUGAGUUUCUUGGUAACCUGACAACCUCUCCAACAACACCUGCGUUUCAAGCACGUGAAAACAGUGACAUUUUUUACCAUACAUCACCGAACCAAAUAAUCCGAAAGCAAGCCUCAGUCCUUUCACCUGUGCGUGAAGAAGCAUCUCCUGUGACGCCAAAUCAGAAUCGAAUACAACCUGAAAGCUCCCCUGACCGUGAAGCUUCAACCGUCCUAUUAUCACCGGACUUGGAACAAUCUCCAAAUACAUCUUCCUCACAAAAAAGCUCGCAACGUGGACGUCCAAAAGGUAGCAAGAAUAAACCAAAACCUUUGCCUAUUGAUUUCUUAAUACCAGUACAGGGAGAAGAUGGUGUGACAACACGGGCUCAGAGAACUUGGCUACUUGGAAAGCAGUUGGGUUUGAAACCUCGAGGUUCGGAAGCGCUGAUGCUUCGUGGCUUAGAAGCUCAAAUUCGACAAAACCAUCCCCAUCUUAACUGAUAUGUCAGGACCAUGGCGGUCUUAUGAGGGUCUCACAUAAACAGUGGUAUUUUUUCCUGCCGUUGUUGAUUUAAUUUUAGGGUGUGAAAUAGUUGAUUCUAUGGAGAAUGUAGUUGUUGUUUUUUGUCGUUGCUGCUGUUUCUAUUUUUGCUGGUGCUGUUUGCUGUUGUGUUGGUUUGCUGUUGCUGUUGCUGUUGCUGUUGCUGUUACUGUUUGCUGUUGCUGUUUGCUGGUGUGCUGGAUUUUUGCUGGUUUUGCUGUUGUUGCUGUUGCUGUACGAAAUUCUUUGCUGGUGCUGAUGUUGCUGUUUUGGCUGCCUUGCCGUCAUUGAUGUUAAUUUGGUGCUGCUGCGGACUUGUUGUACCAACUAUUGGCUGGGUUUUUGGCUGCUUUAACGAAUUUAUGUGUCCAGGGACUGAGCUGUCACAUGUUUACUUGUUUAGUCCAGAAUGACUUCCCCAAGAUUGCGGUACUCUUUUUCCUUGCUUGGUUUUUAUCCCACUGGGUUUUUCCAAACAAGGUUUUAAUGAGGCUCUCUCUUGGGGUUUUUCGUCAAUCUGUGGGUUGGUGGUGGGUUUUUAGCACAGCUCAGGAUGUAUUUUCAUGCUUUAGUCUUAUCAUCUGACUGGGUUUGUACUUGGUUCUUGCCUAUAGCUCAUUUUGGCUUAGGCUCUUAUUAAUAAUAUACCUUUCAUUUUCUAAAAAAAAAAUUCUUACAAUGGGCCCCACUCCCAACUACUCACUUAAAACCUAAAACCCUUAUUUAUCUAUAUCACAUAAUAACUUAAUUAUCUAAUAAAAUCAUUUAAUGACCUUAUCAUCUAAUUAAAUCACAUAAUCACAUUAUCAUCUAAUUAAAUCGCAUAAAUUAUCAAAAUACCAUAUAGCAUAAUAACAAUUAAGAGAAAAUAAUAAAUAACCUAAUAACGAAAAGUGGGGUGUUACAAACAUAAAUUAAAAUCUGAUAAUGCAAAAAUAUUUGGAAAUUUAAAAUUACAGUCACAUGUCUUUAAAUGUUAAAAAGGAAGUUUUGCUUAAAGGUUUGAGAUUAAAUAUUUUUUUGAAAAAAAUAAAUAAAGAAAAAACUUUAAAAUAUAAUAAAAUUAGACAAUAAUAUGCAAUAAAAUUUUAAUUUAAAAUAAUAAAUUAAUAUUUAAAAUCUCUCCAAUACUUUUGAAGAUUUUAAUAUAUUUCCAAAUCAAUCAAUAUCUAUAUUUAAUAUACUAAAAGAAGUUUUUUUUUUAGAAUGUUUUGCCCGUGUCACUCCCAUAUCAUCCAAAAAAAAUAUACAAAUUUUCUUAUACUUAUUAGUUAUUCACUAUUUUUAUGCCUCCUACGUAUACAAUUCAAAAACAAAUUGCCCGAAAUUUUUUUUCUAAUACAACUCUUUUAGUUCAACUAAAAGAUCAAGUCGGUACUCAACAUACAUGCAAAAUCUUGAAGGGUCGUAAGGGAAAUGAGAGCCUGGAGUUUGGAUCAGGGUGGAAAGAGUUUUGCACAUCGAAUGACGUCCGUGAAGGGGAUAUAUGUUGUUUCAAGUUUCAACAUAUAGAAUCAAAUAUUGUUGAUGUAUUUAUAGUCUAUCCAGUGGUUUAGGAUUUCGAGCAGUGUUUACAUUUGGUUUGUUUUGUUUUAGGUUGGUUUUAAUCCACUACUCUAUUGAACUACUCAAUAUGAAUUUUAAUUAUUAAGAAAAUUGUAUAUUAUGCUACAUUAAUUUACUUCUUAUAAAUUUCUUUCUUUCUUUUUUCAUACUUACCUCAUUUGAAUGCUAAUGCUUUCUAAUUAGCUAGAACAUGACAUACCUUAAAAAAAAGGCUAUAACUCAUGAAAAGGUAAACAAGUAAAAAUUUCAAAUUUACUUCAAAAUGUUAUCAUGAUCGAAAAUAACAACAAUAAUUUUUUUGGUAAACACAUAACAACAAUAAUGAUAUAAAAAAAAGAAUCAAACAAUAUUUGUUCAAAUUUAUUUGAUCACGUUCCAAAAUUUAAGUUUGGUGGACCAUGUGGUGGUUAAAUUUUGAAGUUUACAAAAUUUAAUGAUAUUGAUUAAAAAAAAUAAAAUUUAUAUCUUUCUAAUUUCAAAAACAUUUAUUGUUUCUUUUUUUAUAACAAAAAGAAAUGUAUUAGAUAGAGACCAAACCAACAAAGGCAUAAAUGUCCCCUUGCCAAAACACACCUAGAGAUUGAGCCUCAUUAAAACCUUCAAAAGAAAAACCCAAUGGGAAAAAACCAAUGAAGGAAAAAGAGUACUACAAUCACUAGAUAGGCAAGGGAACAAACCAAUAUUCAAGAGGAACAACCCAUCCCUUUACAACAAAACAUGCACUCAUGCACUAACCUUCCUAAAUCAAACCGUAUAUAAAAAACAAGCACCCGCAGGCCUAAAAUUUAUUGUUUCUUUUUUAUGAUUAGUUUUAAUAAAAAUAAUAUUACUUAAUCAAAUUUGAACUGUCAAUUUGAUACGUUCAAAAAUCAUCUACUCGAGAUCUUGGAUGUAGUAAACAUGAAAAUUUUUGUAUGCACCUAUUAUUAAAUCUAUCUACAACUAUUAAAAAAAGGUAAUUUUUAGAAUAUUUGUUUAAUCUCUAACAAAAUCCAUCUCGGUUGAAAUCAAUAAAAAAGUAAAAUUAAAAAAAAACUAAUUUCAUUUAAUUACAUGGCGUAAUAUAGUUUAGAUUGAGAAUUAAAAUUAAAUUAAAUUCGUUUACUUGCUCUUAUAAUUUCUCUUUGGGUUUUUAUAUCGAAGUGUGGUCUAUGAUUUAGACGGGAAAGUGUGGAAUGCCACAUAUUUCUAAGUCUUGAUUUAGACUGAGUUGAGUCCAAAGCUAUUUAGGUAUUUAAAUUUUAGUUCUUACUUUUUAAAUAUUUAAAUUUUAGGUAUCCAACAAUAGCUAGCAUGAGCAAAUCACACAAGUGGAUUGGACACCACAUUUUUGGAUGUAUGAGAUUUUUCACUUAUAAAGUGCUAAACACUCCUCUAAUCAUCUAAUGUGAAACUUUCUCAAACAUAAUAUUUUCCAAAUAGUACAAAGUGAUUAAAAAAUAUAAAUUUUUUGAUAAAUUACAAAAUAGUUAGGGUAAAAAUUUACAUAAAAUAUUUUCAUGUUUAAAAAAAAUAUCGGUAUUUCAUUUUUUUAUUUAAUUCCGUAUUUAAAAUAUUAAUUUAUAACUUUUGAUUAUUUAUGAUGUAUUUUUGUUUCUGCUUCUUUGAUAUAUUUUCAAAUAGAAUCCCAAGUUAAGGUAGAUACAAAUUUGAAAUAGAGUGGGUCAUGCUCCUAUUUAAUUAAAUUAGAUAAUAGUAAUUGUUAGAAUAUUUGUUGAGUUAAAAAAAACUUUUAGAUAUUUUUUUAAAUCUUUAACAAAAUCCAUCUCGGUUGAAAUCAAUAAAAAAACAAAUUUUUCUUUAAAAAUAGGAAACGAAUUUCAUUUAAUUACAUGGAGUUUAAAUUUGGUUAUUUCAUAUUUAAAUCAAUUUGUCAAUCUAUUUUGUUUUGAACUACCAAUUUGAUUGUGCUUUUUUUUAACAGUAUUCCAAUCGGUCAAUAAUCUUUAAUCAAUGCAAUGAUUUUACAAAUUAACUUAAGUACCUUCCUACCUACUUCAUAAUUCUGAACGAAGGUUCUAGAACGAUUUGUGAGGGACCUGGAAGCUACCCUCAACGCUGGGUUGCAGAACAUGAAGCCAUUUCUGAUUUUUGAGUUUUUUUAUGCCUCAAAAGAUUUCUGAGCUUGAAUUGAACCCUAACUGAAGGAAAAACCUGUCAGUAUUCUUUUUUUAUUGGGCUGAUAGAGAAAAAAUGGGAAAGGUCUUAUUGGCUAUUGAGGUUAAACUUCAAGUACACUGCACUGUUUUACGACUCUCCGACCCUUCAUUCUUCAUUCACCCGGUGUUAGAAUUCAAGUGUGAGUAAAAAUCUUUUAAAAAGUCACACAUUGACCGAAAAUGUGAGUGUUGAAUAAUUUAUAAGUGAAAUGCGAGUGUUGAAUAAUAUAUAAGUGAAAUGACUAAGUGAAGUUGUCGAUGGCAGCCAAGACGGCUUCGACGCCGCGGUCCAUGGUGGGAAGAGAGAGAAAGAGGUUCUUACGGGAUGAGAGAGGAAUGAUUGAGUGUAAGAAUGAAUGGAAGGUGGGCGAGUGAUUUUUCGUGGAAUGUGUGUGGUGGGAAAUAUGACUUGACGAGUCAACAUUAUUAUAAUAAGAUUUAAUGUUCAAAAGUUGACUAUAAUUAAUUUUUCAAAUUUUGAACAAAUUCAAUUGUAUCAUAAUUAAAUAAGAAAAAAUGUGACGUUAGAUUAAAACACAUUGUACUUCUUAAAAAAAAAACACAUUGUUCAAAACAUAUAUAGUUAAAACAAUUGUUAAGAUGUAUUUACUAAAAGGUAAAAAAAAAAAAAAUAUAGUGUCACACGACAUUUAGAUUUACAAUUUUAUUAAACAAAAGUCACCCGUGCAGGGCACGGAUAAUUCCACUAAACCCUAACAAGAGUACGUGAUGCAAAAUUAAUUAACUCAUGUUUAUUUACAAAUGCAAAAUUGUUUUUCACUUUAACAUAAAUUGCAAAAAUAAUUUAUUAUUUCAAAAGCAACUAAAAACCGGAAUAUGACAAAAGUCACCCGUGCCUUGCACGGGUGAUUCCGCUAGUUAUUAUUAUUAUUAUUAGGUCACUAAACUAUUAAACUAGUAUCACUCUAUCUUAAUCUUGGUCUCAAUUAACUAGGGUGUGACCUUUAUAUCCUUAUGUCCACUAAUCUGACCUAAUCAUUAUUGAGUCAUUAAACUAUCCACUUAGAUUAAUUAUUAAUCCAAAAUACUACAACUUAAUUAUCUAGUCAUAUUAUGCAAACUAAUUUCAUUUUUAAUAGCUAAAUUCUAUGGUUCUUUCUUCAUUAUCAUCUCUGAUCUCAUUACUCCUAUCCUAUCAUGAAUGUCUGCCCUCAUUGUUCCUAAGUCAUUAGUCUACUAAUAUAAUCUUAAGCUAAAAUAUUUUUAUUUAAUUAUUUCACUUACCUAAGCCAUAUUAUGCAAAUUAAAUUAAUAACUAGGCUAUGACUUCUAAGUCUAUACCUGCUCAUUGUUCUAAUGGUUAUAGGUUCUGUUAAGCACACUUUACUGUUCUCAGCUUAUGCUUAGGUUCAGAAUCACUUAUUUUAAGCACUUCAUUCAAAGACUACUUGCAAACUAAGAAAUCUAUAAACUAAGCCUAAAACUAACAUCUAAUAGUCCAUUCCUAUAGUUUUCUACCUCCUGAGUUCAAUGGAAUCAUCAAUUUUAGCUUCUGGGCACUCUAACAGUGCCAAUUUGCGAUUCCAGAGGCUGCCCGCGAGGUGAAAUUGGGGCUUUCCUCUUCAGGGCUCAACUACUACAAUUAGCUAUCCUAAAAGCUCCUAUGACCUUCCAGAAGCAUAACUCAAUCCUGUUUGCGUGCCAAUUCACUCUCAGAAGCUCAACCCGAUAGUUUCUUCGAGCUUCAAAGAUCAUGGAUUGGUUAUCUUGAUUCCUAAUGAUUCGUGGCUUAAAACUAGUCUAAAGCUUCCUAACUAUGUCCUAACAUGCUUAAGGGAUCAAUUUGGAGUGAAAACGAGCCAAAACGAGCAAGUUUAAGAAAGUUACUCGUCGGAGACGAUGAUGCUCGCCGGAGAAGAUGAUCGGAGGGUCGUGAAAUGUCACCGACAUGCUAUUCCAAAUACUGGAACUUGAUCUACAGGACGUGGGGAGUUGAAUGGUGAUCGUGGGUGUGGCUGAAGUGCUCGGAGAUGGGAGAAAGGGUUAGUUACAGGUCGAGGGUUCGCCGGAGCUUCGCCGGAGAUGGUGGAGUCGUGGUUUCUCGACCAAAACUUGACCAAGACUAGUCGAUUCUCUUCCUCUCCUCUCCAGGAACUCAAUGGAACAAAAAUGGGAACCUAACUCUCUCUGGUUUGAGAGAUUCGAAGAGGGGAAGUUUCAGAACUUCCUCUCGGUCUCACUCUCGUUCUAGGCUCUCUGGGCACUCUCUGAAGGUUCUAGGGCACUCACUGGGUAGCUAGGGUCGCGUGGAGUCGAAUGGUACCCUUUAUAUAAGCUGUAGAGUGAUUAAUUUGCUAAACCAAGCUUAAACUUAAUCAAAGUUGCACCACCAAUGGCUCUUCAUGCAUGGGGUUUAUCCUAGGACUUGAGGUUGCGUGGCAGCAGCUUGGGAAGGGUCAGAAGCAAUCAGAAGUGAGGUUUGCAUGGUGUAAUGGCUGAUUGCAUGCCUAGGUCAUUUGCACACAAAUCCUAGGGCACCGAUUGGUCGAUUUCUUUAUCAUUUUCCAUGUCGGGACAAAACCGAUGCAAUAUUAUACUGGUUCAGGUUUGUUAGUGCUAAAUUAGAGUGUAUUUCCCUUCUCAAGGUUCAAUAUCAUCUCUUUAGAGUGAUUAAGGUAUCACUCUGUUAGCUUGAUUCGGGUUUCGAUCACUCUGAGACAAUGUAUCUAUCAUUGCCAAGAGAUGUGACCAGAUCAUUUAUUUAGCCUAUCCUACCUCUAUCUCGAGUUCAUCCUCUUUUUGGGGUUAUUAUGACCAUGUCUUUAGUACUUCUAUUGUCGGGUCGAUUUAAAGUCGAUUGACCGACGUCUCGAUUUACGUGUAAACAAGUAUUAUCAUAAAAUAUUCACGCAUACACGCAUACACACAUAUAUAUAUUAUACGUAUAUUAUAUAGUAUAGUUAUACUAUUAGCGAAUAUUCGCCUAUUCCAACUCUCUAGGGUUUCGCGUUGCCUAUGAGGUCUUUACCUGGUUGGUGGGAUGUUACAAUGUUUAAAUUCUUUCCUCUGAUAAUGAAGCAUUACUUUUUUUUUUGUGGAAGAUUUAACUGUUGAAGAUUUUCUCAUGCAGUGGAAGAAUCAUGGUCUGCAGACUCAAUGAAUCAUUGUUUGAAUGUGAGUCUCUGUUCAUCGAUUUUCAGAUCUUCAUUUUCUUCAUGUUCAGUGUAGUGCCUCUCUGAACUAUGAUUUAUUUCAUUUACAAAGCUGCUCAAGAUACAACAAAAAUGAAAUGCUUAGGCAGAGAAUCCCUGCUUAUCAACGGCUCAAUUCUUAUCAUAUGUCAAUUAUGGCCACAGAGUUUUGGGCUUAGGCCCUCCAAAGUAUAAGUAAAAAUAUUGUGGCCACAGAGUACAUGCCUAUGUUUAAAUUGCUUGGAAAUAGGGCAUGUGGUGGGUAUGAUCAACUACAUCAAGAAUCAGUGGAGAACUUGGAUAUGAGAGAUUUUGAACUUGACAAAAUGAGCCUAGAUGACCCAGCUAUGGUGAUAUCCGAUGAUGACAUGGAAGAUUGGUAGGUAUUCAACAUUUAAUGAAAUGAGGUUGUAGCUUGUGGUCCUUCCUUGGAUGCAUAUAAUUUGAUGCCUCUGCCUUUUGUCUCCGUUGUUGAUUUAGGCUGAAGCUUUUCUUAUGAAAUGACAAGUUUGUUUUGGGACACAAUUGCUCUUAAUGAGAAUGUGCUGGCGAAAUAUCAAUUGUUAGUAUGAAAGUAACUAGGUAAUAUUUAGCUUAUUAAUAGAACAUAAUAGACAUAAUUCUAUAAGUAAGUUCUUAUAUUUAAAUUACUUCAGUUUUAUUCUUGAAAAUGUAUUUUGUAUGCUUACUUAGGUUACUUACUAUUUGUAUCCUUGAUGUUCUCCUAUAUGUGUAGGUGUAGCUGGAGCCAAAACACCCAUUUCACCCUUAUAUAACCUAUCAGUUUUUGGGAGCCCUAAGAGUCAAUGGUUCCAACUUUUUUGUUUCUGCUAAGAAUUAUGCAGAUAUUCUCUUUGGCAAACAAGAUUACAAAUCCAGGUAAAAUAUAAACAUAUUUUUUAUUAUCUUUUUAGUAUUUGAUGUCUUUUUAUGUUUGUGCUUUUAUUUUAUUGGUCCUAAGUUUAUUCAUAUCUUUAUGUUAAUAGUGAAACAAUGCAACAAUAUCGAAGUGUUGAUAUGUUUAGGGGAUGACAUUGAGAAGAAGUUUAAUGAUUAUUAAUUCCAUAAGCAUACUUGAGGAUAAAUAAUUACCUUGGUCCAGUAAUUAUGGAAUAUCAAGUUGAGGGACUUGGGUUGUAUACCGAAUGAGUUUCAUUACUAUCUUUUAUCAAGAUGAAAUAGGAGAUCUUCAGGUUUAAUCAAAAGAGGAAAAGUGGAUAGUUAUGUUUUCAUUUGAGAAAUUUAUUGCUCAGUAAGGAAAUGUUUUGUCACAUAUGGCUAAGUACUUGGAUUGAGCAAGCAUAUCUCUUAAACCCAUAGGAUAGUUUAAGAAAUAAAGGAAUAUUUUGCGGUUUCAGAUAUACGAAUCUCCUAAAUUUUAUUUUGAACAGGAUCUUUGCUGACUUAACUAUAUAUUGUUCACUUUGAAUAGAGCUAGACAUUCUGGAGCCUCGAUGAAUGUAUCGAAGUUCUCAGAACAUGCUACCAGUCUACCAAUGUUGUCGUUAUUCAACCUCGUAUAUCUGCAUAUCUCAUAUCUUAUUACUAAUUUAGUUUUAUGACUUACAUCAAUCUGUUUGUCUUUUAUGACUUGGUAAGUUGUGAAACUAGGGAAACUAAUUUGUUUGUUUUUUUCAUUGCAGUGGCAUCUCCUAAACAGAUUAUAGAACUGAUGCAAGUGGAAGACUUGACUAAUGGUAAAGGCAAAAGCCAUUUACAAGUGAGUGUGUUUGUAUUUAAUCAGAUUAGAGUAUUAGAUUACAAAUGGUUGAUAGUAUCUUCUUAUUCUUUAUUGGCUUAAAUACUCUUUUGGGCCUUGAAAUUGUAAAGGGAAUCUGGACUGGGCGAGCCCCUAGAGGGGCAACGCCCAGCAUGUAUCCCGCCCUGAGGCGGGGCCCUGGCCUUCAGAUGGGCCUUGAUCUCGGAGGCCCAAUUGGCCCAAUAGGUAGUACCCAAGCUCUAUAAAUAGGAGGUAGUUAUCAAUUGUAAGGGACUUUUGGCUCAUUUGAUGAAGUAACACAUAAAAUUCAGCAUUCUCUCUCUUACUCUCUCUCUCUAGCACAAUCUCUCUACCCUUAGGUACUACACCUUUCCUCAAUGUUCAUUCCCAGAACAUUUGGCGCCGUCUGUGGGGACUGUAAACUUUCUACUCCCAUUCACGUGGAUUGAUUGUGCAUGAAGUUACCUCUGAUUGCGAUUAGGCAACUCUCUGGUUUUCCGAUUUUGAUUCUGUGACUAGUGUUGGUUUUCCGAUCGAGUUUGCAUCGUUUCUGGUUUAGAUGGAGACUCGACGCAGGAGGCAACAUCAUUCGCCAAUGCGACAACGGAUUUCGCCGCCUCGGCGGCCUCAUCGUGUGGACCUGGAUUCUCCGGUGCGAACGGCAGGAGUACAGUCGCCCUCUCCUCCUCCAUCACCACCACCUCCUCCAUCGCCUUCACAGGUGGGAUCUCGGGAGCACUCACCAGGGAAUUCACCUGCUCCGGAACAACAACCGGCGGUGACGCAGGAGCAAUGGCGCCAUUUGAUGCGCAGCAUUGGCAACAUCCAGCAGCGGAAUGAGCAUCUACAGGCUCAGUUAGAUUUCUACCGUCGCGAGCAGCGAGAUGAUGGAAGCAGAGAGGCAGAUUCCGUGGCUGAGUUCCGUCCGUUCUCGGAAGAUGUCGAGAGUGUGGCGAUUCCGGAUAACAUGAAAACGUUAGAUCUGGAUUCUUACAGCGGAGAUUCCGAUCCGAAAGAUCAUCUACUGUACUUUAAUACGAAAAUGGUGAUAAUUGCGGCGUCAGAUGCGGUGAAGUGCAGGAUGUUUCCAUCGACGUUCAAAUCGACGGCAAUGGCGUGGUUCACAACUUUGCCGCGUGGAUCGAUUUCAAAUUUCAGAGACUUCUCAUCCAAGUUUCUAGUGCAAUUCUCGGCAAAUAAGAAUCAGCCGGUGACGAUCAAUGACCUAUACAAUAUUCGCCAGCAGGAAGGGGAGUCACUGAAAGAGUACAUGGCAAGGUAUAGCGCGGCGUCGGUAAAGGUAGAGGACGAGGAGCCUCGAGCUUGUGCUUUAGCAUUUAAAAACGGUUUGCUGCCGGGAGGGUUGAACAGCAAAUUGACACGUAAGCCGGCGCGCUCGAUGGGAGAGAUGCGUGCUCGUGCCAGCACUUAUAUUCUCGACGAGGAGGACGACGCUUUCAAAAGAAAGCGCGCGAAGUUGGAAAAGGGCGACACGUCGCCCAAGCGCGUGAAAAAAGAUAGGAGCGGCGAAGAUAAGGGGGAUGGCAAACAGCAGAGGCCAGGUAAGGGGAAGUCGGUAUUCAAAUCGACCAAGGAACAGUUGUAUCCACGGCGCGAUGAUUAUGAACAACGUCGGCCUUGGCAAUCUAAGUCUCAUCGCCAGCGGGAGGAAACUGAUAUGGUGAUGAACACAGAUGCAUCGGAUAUGCUCCGAGGGGCAAGCGACGCAAAUCUAGUGGAUGAGCCGGAGGCCCCAAAGUAUCAGCCACGGGACGCCAAUCCCAAGAAGUGGUGCGAGUUCCACCGGUCCGCCGGGCAUGAUACGGAUGACUGUUGGACUUUGCAGCGGGAGAUUGAUAAGUUGAUUCGGGCGGGAUAUCAAGGAAAUCGUCAAGGCCAGUGGCGCAAUGGUGGCGAUCAAAACAAAGCGCACAAGCGGGAGGAGGAGCGAGCGGACACUAAGGGCAAGAAAAAGCAAGAAUCAGCGGCUAUCGCCACAAAAGGGGCUGAUGACACGUUCGCUCAACACUCAGGACCGCCCGUCGGGACCAUCAACACCAUCGCCGGGGGAUUUGGCGGCGGUGGCGACACUCAUGCGGCGCGUAAGCGCCACGUUCGUGCCGUUAAUUCCGUUCAUGAGGUCGCUUUUGGGUUCGUACACCCUGACAUAACAAUCUCGAUGGCGGACUUUGAGGGGAUAAAGCCUCAUAAGGACGACCCGAUUGUGGUGCAGUUAAGGAUGAACAGUUUCAACGUUAGAAGGGUACUCCUGGAUCAGGGUAGUUCGGCUGAUAUUAUCUAUGGUGAUGCAUUUGACAAGUUGGGACUAACUGACAAUGAUCUAACUCCAUACGCGGGAACCUUGGUAGGUUUCGCGGGGGAGCAAGUAAUGGUGCGGGGAUACAUUGAUCUAGACACAAUAUUUGGGGAAGACGAGUGUGCUAGGGUUUUGAAGGUAAGGUAUCUAGUUCUCCAGGUGGUUGCUUCCUACAAUGUCAUCAUUGGGCGAAAUACAUUGAAUCGCCUUUGUGCUGUAAUUUCGACAGCCCACUUAGCGGUCAAGUAUCCGCUAAGCAGUGGAAAGGUGGGAAAGCUGAAGGUGGACCAGAAGAUGGCGAGGGAGUGUUACAAUAAUUGCCUUAACUUGUACGGCAAGAAGAGUGCGUUGGUUGGUCAUAGAUGUUAUGAAAUCGAAGCUUCGGAUGAAAAUCUUGAUCCCCGGGGCGAGGGGCGAGUAAAUAGGCCCACGCCAAUUGAGGAAACGAAGGCGCUAAAGUUUGGCGAUCGCACUUUGAAGAUUGGGACCAGACUGACGGAAGAGCAGGAGACGCGCCUGACAAAACUGCUUGGGGAGAACUUAGACUUGUUUGCUUGGAGCUGCAAAGACAUGCCUGGAAUUGAUCCAAACUUCAUAUGCCAUCGAUUAGCAUUGAAUCCAAGUGUCAAGCCAGUUUCACAACUUAGGAGGCGCUUGGGUGGCGACAAAGGGAAGGCGGUGCAACAGGAGGUCGACAAGUUGCUGGCGGCAGAGUUCAUCAGGGAAGUGAAGUAUCCGACGUGGUUGGCGAACGUCGUAAUGGUGAAGAAGGCGAACGGGAAAUGGCGAAUGUGUGUAGAUUACACAGACUUAAACAAGGCAUGUCCAAAAGAUUCGUAUCCCCUUCCCAGCAUCGAUAGCCUUGUUGAUGGGGCCUCGGGCAACGAACUGCUUAGCUUGAUGGAUGCUUACUCUGGCUAUCAUCAAAUCCGCAUGCACCCGGCAGACGAGGACAAAACGGCUUUUAUGACUGCCAGAGUCAAUUAUUGCUAUCGCACCAUGCCGUUUGGACUAAAGAACGCUGGGGCUACCUACCAAAGAUUGAUGGAUAGGGUUUUUGCUGGGCAGGUGGGAAGAAACAUGGAGGUUUACGUUGAUGACAUGAUUGUUAAAUCGGUACGAGGUUUAGACCAUCAUCAAGAUCUGGAGGAAGCAUUUGGCGAAAUAAGGAAGCACAGUAUGCGCCUCAAUCCGGAGAAGUGCUCUUUUGGUGUUCAGGGGGGCAAGUUUUUGGGAUUCAUGAUCACAUCCAGAGGAAUCGAGAUAAACCCAGAAAAAUGCAAGGCGAUUCAGCAGAUGAAAAGCCCUUCCAAUGUGAAAGAGGUCCAACGUUUGACGGGGCGAAUAGCAGCUUUAUCUCGGUUUCUUCCCAAGUCCGGUGACAGAUCUUUUCCUUUUUUCAAGUGUCUUCGUAAGAAUGUCGCAUUCGAGUGGACGGCGGAGUGUGAGGAAGCUUUUGUUCGCCUCAAGGAACUCCUAUCGUCACCGCCAAUCUUGUCGAAACCAAUGCAGGGACACCCGCUGCAUUUGUAUUUUGCUGUGAGCGAUAGUGCUCUGAGUUCUGUGAUGUUGCAGGAGAUAGAUGGCGAGCAUCGAAUUGUUUAUUUUGUUAGUCACACACUCCAGGGCGCGGAGGUCAGAUAUCAGAAAAUUGAGAAGGCGGCGCUGGCGGUCCUCGUCACCGCCCGGCGGUUGAGACCUUAUUUUCAGAGUUUUCCUGUAAAGGUGCGGACGGAUUUGCCCUUGAGACAAGUAUUACAAAAACCGGAUUUAUCAGGUAGAUUGGUCGCUUGGUCGGUUGAAUUGUCAGAGUAUGGUUUGCAAUACGAUAAGCGGGGCACGGUUGGUGCGCAGUCACUAGCUGACUUUGUGGUCGAGUUGACUCCAGAUCGGUUUGAAAGAGUGGACACUCAGUGGACUCUCUUCGUGGAUGGAUCCUCCAAUAGUAGUGGCAGCGGCGCGGGAGUAACGUUAGAAGGGCCGGGGGAACUAGUGUUGGAGCAAUCUCUGAAGUUCGAGUUCAAAGCAACGAACAACCAAGCAGAAUAUGAAGCUCUCAUCGCCGGAUUGAAGUUGGCGCGGGAAGUGAAGAUCAGGAGUUUGUUGAUAAGAACGGACUCACAAUUGGUGGAGAAUCAAGUGAAGGGAACUUUCCAGGUCAAAGAUCCUAAUCUGAUCAAGUACCUUGAGCGGGUACGGUAUUUGAUGACACUCUUUCAAGAGGUCGUGGUGGAGUACGUUCCUCGGGCAGAAAAUCAGCGGGCGGACGCGCUAGCCAAACUGGCAAGCACGCGGAAGCCCGGCAAUAACAAAAGUGUGAUUCAGGAAACGCUGGCGUACCCAAGCAUCGAAGGCGAGCUCAUGGCCUGCGUGAACAGAGGGAGAACAUGGAUGGAUCCCAUAAUAUCUAUCUUGGCGGGGGACUCGGCAGAAGUGGAGCAAUGCACGAAGGAGCAGCAGCGGGAGGCGAGUCACUAUACUCUCAUUGACGGACACUUGUAUCGCCGUGGUUUCUCGACGCCAUUGUUGAAAUGUGUACCGCCAGAGAAGUUCGAAGCGAUAAUGUCUGAAGUACAUGAAGGAGUGUGCGCGAGCCACAUCGGGGGAAGGUCUUUGGCUUGCAAAGUGUUGAGGGCGGGUUUUUACUGGCCCACCCUCAGGAAAGAUUGUAUGGACUUCGUGAAGCAGUGCAAGGAGUGUCAAGUGUUCGCGGAUUUGUCUAAGGCACCGCCAAAAGAGUUGGUAACGAUGAGCGCCCCGUGGCCUUUCGCCAUGUGGGGUGUGGACUUAGCAGGACCUUUCCCGACCGCCAGGGCACAAAUGAAGUUUAUAUUGGUGGCGGUGGACUACUUCACUAAAUGGAUUGAGGCGGAACCCUUGGCCAAGAUUACUUCUGCAAAGAUAGUCAAUUUCUACUGGAAGCGUAUUGUUUGCAGGUUCGGGAUCCCAAGGGCGAUCGUAUCUGACAAUGGGACCCAGUUUUCAAGCUGUCAAACAAGGGAGUUCUGCAAGGAAAUGGGCAUACAGAUGAGGUUCGCCUCUGUUGAGCAUCCGCAGACGAACGGGCAGGUGGAAUCUGCAAACAGGGUAAUCCUACGAGGACUAAGACGACGACUCGCGGAGGCUAAGGGAGCUUGGUUGGAUGAACUUCCGGCGGUGCUGUGGUCGUACAACACCACCGAGCAAUCUACUACAAGGGAAACCCCCUUCAGAAUGACCUACGGGGUAGAUGCAAUGUUGCCGGUGGAGAUUGACAACUUUACAUGGCGGACUCGACCAGGUUUUGAAGAGGAAAAUCAGGCCAACAUGGCGGUGGAGCUGGACCUUUUGUCGGAAACGCGCGACGAGGCGCACAUUCGGGAAACAGCGAUGAAGCAGCGCGUGGCGGCAAAGUUCAACAGCAGGGUUCGCGUCCGAGAUAUGCAGGUUGGCGACCUGGUCCUCAAGUGGCGAUCGGGAGCCCCGGGGAACAAGCUUACUCCCAACUGGGAAGGGCCCUACCGCAUUAUUAAAGUUCUUGGUAAUGGGGCCUAUCACUUAGAGGAGCUUGAUGGGAGGCGGUUACCUCGAUCGUUCAAUGGUUUGAGCUUGCGCUACUUUUAUAGUUGAUCGCAGGCGAGAAAGUGAACAAGGCGGAAUCGCCGGAGCCAGAUAUCUUUAAGAUUUUCCGAAGUGUUCUCAAAUUCUCCAAUGUACUGCAACGACAAAUCAAUAAAAUAAAACGAAAAUUCACGAAAUUCGUGUCCAAAAAAUUCCAGGGAUUCCCUGACGAUCGGAAUUGCCGAUCGACAUAAAGAAUUACGGCGAUCACUAAGUGGGACAAGCUUGAUCCCCAAAGGGGCUUGCUGGAACCCUGAAGGUUGUGGUGAUUCCACAAAUGGCCUUUGACGCCUGGGAAUCACCCUCCGGAAAGUCUGACGUGAUCGCCGGUCCCGUAAACGAUGUGCUGGGUAAGUCUCGCCAGAAUACGACGAGCGCCGUUAACUAGGCAUAAAACGAAAAUUCACGAAAUUCGUGUCCAAAAAAUUCCAGGGAUUCCCUGACGAUCGGAAUUGCCGAUCGACAUAAAGAAUUACGGCGAUCACUAAGUGGGACAAGCUUGAUCCCCAAAGGGGCUUGCUGGAACCCUGAAGGUUGUGGCGAUUCCACAAAUGGCCUUUGACGCCUGGGAAUCACCCUCCGGAAAGUCUGACGUGAUCGCCGGUCCCGUAAACGAUGUGCUGGGUAAGUCUCGCCAGAAUACGACGAGCGCCGUUAACUAGGCAAAAGUCUUGGGACCCCCAAAUGGCCAUUGGGAUCCAAGCAUUGUAAGCCCCGAGCGGGCAAAGCCCCGGGCGAAGUCCUCGAGAAUGGAGGCUGUUUGUUCCUAUUAGGGAAAAAACGUCUAAAGUCUUGGUGGUGGAAUACCAAGCAACAAGUCCUAGUUAAAAUUAAGGCACGAAAUCGUUAGGCGUAAUUCAAUCAUAUGACGCGUGAAAAAUAGCGCAAGAUAUAAGGUCGGCGAAUGAAUAGGAGGGAAGGCGAGUAGUGUACGGCGAAAGCGUUCCAAUAUGACUUACAAAAUAUCCAACGGCGAUAUAAAAAGCUAUGGCGAAGGGUUCCUUAAACAUAGACGAAUGGCGGAAAAGUACACUACAAGGUGACAGUAAAAGAUAAAGGUAAUGUUAAAAAUUACAUUAUUCAUUGUUUUCUUUCUCCUGUUCUUCUUCUUCCUCUUCUUCUUCAGUCGCUGUCCAGAGGUUUUGGUCAAUCAGGGGAGGAUCGUCGGGACCAACCAGUCCUGCGGCGGUUAUCUCUUUCAUUACUCCCAUGGCGCUAAGGUCAAAGUUCGGGUACAAAUGUUGGGCCUGAUCUUUGGCGAGGUAGAAACCGCGCUCGCGGUUGUCAAGGGCGAUGUCAGCGGCUUGUUCCCUCGCCUCAAUGGCUUUGGCCUUCUCCGUCGCCAGCUCGUCCUCUAGACUUUUGAUCUUUGCUAGUUGGGAAGCAAUCUCAGCAUCUUUCGUGGCGAGGGCCUCGGCAUGAGUUUCGGUCGCUUUCUUGAUCUCCUCGGACGUAGCCUGCAUCACCGCCUCCAUGUCAGAUUUCGCCAAGGCCAAGGACUCCGCAGACUUUUUCUCUUGCUCCGCCAACGCCUUUUUCACUAACUCCAGCUCAGCGCACAGUAUGGCAAGCUCUGACUCCUUAGCAAUCAGCGCCUCGCCUCGGGCGAUCAAGUCCUUCUCAGCUUGCUCUUUUUCCUUCUUGCAAGCUUGAAGGCUUGCAUCAAGCUCAUCUGCUUCUUCCUUCAUCAGCGCCAGCUGAUCCUCCAGCUCGCCGAUUUUAAUCCCCGCCGUGCCAAUCAUCUUGUCGGCAUAGACUUUGUCUUUUCCUGCCUGCGUCGCCAGUUUGUCGAAACGCUUUUCCCAAGCAGCGGCGGCUUCUUGAUGCUUAGCACUUUCGGCCUUCAACCGCUCAGCUUCAACGUUGGCGGCAUUGAACUUCUCAAACGUGUGAGCAAAGAUGCACCCAGCGCGUAGGAGGCAAGCAAGAGUCUCCUCCUUGGUGUCAUUCAGGCCCCGACUCAAAACUUCUUUUUCUAUAACGUCACGGUUGAGACCAGCAAGAAAGAAUUCUGAGGGUUCAAUGGCGUUGGGGAGCAUAUUAUAAUAGCUUGAAGAACCGACCUCGGGAGCAGGGGCUUGUUCAAUUUGGGCUGCUUCAGAGGUAGUGGCAGCGCCAGGACAGGAUUUUUCCCCUUGAUGAGGCGGGGAAGGCAUGGAGCCUGCAUCAUGUGUUGAGGGCGGGCUAGGAGGCGCAUCUUGGCGAGGGGGAGACUUUGGGGUUUCAUUUUCUUUUUCCUUAUCUCCAAUAGGAGUGUCGGAAGACGCAGCAGCUUUUGUGGCGUUAACGCCGGCGGAGGCGGCUGUUGCGCCAAUAGAGGACUCAGCGGCAACAGCAGCGGUCGCACCGGCGGAGGCAGGAGAAGAAGCUGGUACGGCGGUUGGCUCGGUAGCUGCGGCGACAGAGGCUUCAGCGACAUUUUUACCUUUAGGCGCAGCAGCAGUGGUGGGCUGAGCGCCAGGGUUGGAUGUGCCGGCGUCGGAGGAGGCUUUGGUCAAUCUUCUCCUCUUGGGAGCUUUGGUGCUCUCGGCUUGGUUCUCAGCACCGCCCCGUUUUUUCGCGUCGCCCUCAGUGUUGAAUUUUGGGGAAAAGCGAGCCAUUCUCCUCUCGCGGGCCUUCAGGAGCUCGGCGUUCGUGAAAUUCAUAUCUUCUGUAACAAUAAAAAAAAAACGAUCAGUGAUAACAUAGGAGUCGAGAAAGGAAAUGUCAAUAAUAAAAGUGAGCUAUGGGCAACCUAGGUAUUUGGGAGUUCUUGAGAGGUCAGCGCCCUCAAGGACUGUUGUGCAGUCAAGGAUGGGAAGUGGGGCAAGGAGAUUAAGAAAGGCUUUAUCGUUGGCGGACAAGGAAUCCUCUGAAGGAUCGGUGAUCCCGUUGGGCUUCUCUGUCCAGUAAAGAGGAAAGAGGGCGGUCCCGUCUCUGAGGGUGAAUGCCUCUGGGUAGGCGGGAUGAACCGCCACACGGAAGUACUUUCGCGCGAAGGAGGACUUCGCGUUACUUUUGUGGGGAUGCAAACACUUCCGGCCGGCUCGGGCCUUCAAGGAAAUCCAUCCUUUGUUUUUGAUGGACUUGGGGUCGACGUCGUAAAGGUAGAAGAAACUGGUGGGGGAUGGGGCGAUGCCGACAGCGGCGCUUAGGAUUUCAAAACAUCGAAUGAAGGCCCAGGCGUUAGGGUGGAGUUGACAGGGAGCCGCGUUGAUGUCGCGGAGGAAGGUUUGGACAAAGGGCGAGAAAGGAAGCCUGAUUCCAAGCUCGCUAAACAUGUAUUCGUACGCAAAGAAAAAAUGGGAUCUCUUUACGUCGCCGUCUGGCUUGUGAAGCCAGGGGCGAUCCCCGGGACUGCAAACCCAGAUCCUGAGUUUGGCGUUAAACUCAUCGUCAUUAGACAAGCCACCCAGGGAGUUCACGAAUUGCACAAUGGGAUCGCUAUCUUGGAAGAUGGAAGGUUGAUCUAUAGCCUCGUGUUUGGGGGCUACUUGGACUGGAAGGGGCAGGGUGGCGUAGGUUUUUAGUCGGUGAGCUGGGAUCUCCGGAACCUCUAAACGGAGGCCGCCGGCAGCGGUGGAGUCAGGGUCGCUUUCGGAGGAGGAAGAAGAGUGAUUAGGGGAGGUAGGGUUUGAAGCCAUUUUUAGAAGACAGUGAAGUGAAAGAAAGGAAAAGAUCAGUAUGUGUGCGAUGUAAAGAUAAGGACAGUGGGACUCACCGGAGUAGGAUGUGAAGAGUGGGUAGCGGAAAGGGUGAUAAGCGACGGCUCCGGAGCGGAAGUGGGCAGAAGGAGUUUGGUAAGCGAUUAGGGAAGUGAAGAGGGGUCUCGGAAAGGGAUGACAGUGGGGAAGAAGGGUUUUUAUAGGAGAAGGGGAGAAGCUGGAAGGGUGACGCGUGUUGGACGCGUGUGGAAGGUUGGAAGUCAUGAUGGUUUUGGGGAGGUGGGUCGCGUGCAAAGGGGAGUUACUGCGCACGAUGGGACGGUUGUGAAAGGUGAAGUGACGGUUCCGGAGAAAGAGGGAAAUUGAUGUAACCAACACAUCACGUGGGGCAGCCACGUGAGGCAGAUAGAAAUUUGAAAGGGUUUUAAAAUAAGGGAAAGCGCGAAAAGCCUCGCCACUAUAAGGAUCAAACGCCAUCGCCUGACGAUUGACACCAACAACGAAGUUCAGUCGCUCGCCGGGGUCACCGCCAGUCAAUGAUUGAAUGAUCGGCACAUGACCCAUGCCUGCCACCUUUCCCGCCGGCGAGCGAUCAUACACCUGCUCCAACUUAUCACCAAUACAAAGUAGUCGUUCUCGCCGCUUGUGGACUUGUGGACUUGCCAGCUUGGUUUGCUCGUCAAGUCGGUGGACUGGGUAACUGAAGAUGCUAGUUUCCUUUUGCUCACGCCAUGUUGGCGAUAUAGUUAACUUCUCUUUUCUCAAGCCAUGUUGGCAGUGUAGAUUCCGGUGUACAAUAAGACAUGUAACAGCAUUUAAAAGACACCCUUAGCUCUCGUACCUCGAGCUCGGUGUCUUGUGGACUAGUGGACUGGGCGAGCCCCUAGAGGGGCAACGCCCAGCAUGUAUCCCGCCCUGAGGCGGGGCCCUGGCCUUCAGAUGGGCCUUGAUCUCGGAGGCCCAAUUGGCCCAAUAGGUAGUACCCAAGCUCUAUAAAUAGGAGGUAGUUAUCAAUUGUAAGGGACUUUUGGCUCAUUUGAUGAAGUAACACAUAAAAUUCAGCAUUCUCUCUCUUACUCUCUCUCUCUAGCACAAUCUCUCUACCCUUAGGUACUACACCUUUCCUCAAUGUUCAUUCCCAGAACAGAAUCAAAUCUGAUCCCUAUAAAAUUUGCGCAUCAAAUUGGGUCCCUAAAAUUGUUUUUUUAAUCUAAUUAAGUCAUUUUGCUCAAUUUUGACUAGUCAACGGUCCAGUGGAAAGCCUAGUCAGCUAAGGAUGGCCACAUGGACUUUUUUCACAUGAAUUUUAGUCCCUUGAAAAAUAUUUUAAUCAAUUUUAGUCCUUGUUCUUCCACCUUCUUUCUCUUCCUCCAUAACUCAAAUCCUUAAAUUUAGAAAUUCAAAACCCUAAAAAAAUAUAUGUUCAUCACAUUCACCUUGUUCUUCCUUUUGAAUUUAUGGGAUUUUAGUUAUAGAGGAAGAAGGUGGAAGAAGAAGAAGAAGAUGAAGGUGGAAGAAACAAGGACUAAAAUUGAUUAAAAUACUUUUUAAGGGACUAAAAUUGAUGUGAAAAAGUCAACGUGGCCGUCCUUAGCUGACUAGGCUUGCCACUAGACCGUUGACUGGUUAAAAUUGAGCAAAAUGAGUUAAUUAGAUUAAAAAAACAAUUUUAGGAACCUAAUUUGAUGUGAAAAUUUUACAAGGACCAGAUUUGAUUCCCUUUUAAGGACCAAAAGGUUAUUUAAGCCUUCUUUAUUUAACAAUAAUUUAAAACUUUAUUAAAUCAUAUUGGUAUGCUCACUGAAACUUAGACAAAAUAUUUAGCAAUUGUAUAUAUGAUUCUGUUGUAGGCAGUGAAGGAUGGUGUUGUGAUGGUUGUGCAAAGGCCAAGUAGCAAAGUUGAUGUAGAAAAGAUGGUCUCUUAAUUAUGAUUUAUGGGUUGAAGAGUUGGUGUUUUGAAAAAGAGAGAAAGAAGAGAGAGAGAGAGAAGGGAGUGGUGCUAAAAAGGGAACAACGAACUUGGACCUGUGCUGACCUUCUUUAUGAUUUAGUAGGUUUUCCUUAUGGAUGGUUUGAAUUCUGGGUUUUAUUUUACAGCAUUGUUAAUUUUAUAAUUUGAAUCUUGCAAUGCCUAAAUGAUGGUACUCUUAAGCGAGGGAUGUUGCCUCUUUUGCAUUAGCUACAAAAGGGUGACCUGUGCUGGAUUAAAGAAGUUGAAAAUGGUAAUUGGUAGUUUUUUUUUUCUGCAGAUUAUGUUAGCCUGAAGUAGGAUGUUAAAACACUAAUGAUGGAUAAAUUUUGUUGUUAUUGAAGUUUUAUCAUGCAAUAGUUGUUUUCAACCUAAAUUUGCUUUUCUCACAGUUAAAUUUUGGAAAAUCAUUCUUUUAGUUUUACUUUUUGUUCUAGACUUCUUGGUCAAGAAGUUAGAUCAUUGAGAGGAAUUUCAGAUAUUACUAAAACUUCAUAGUUGAGAAGGAUUGAUGUAUAUUAAGAUGGACAAAACUGCAGUGCAUUUUAUUCUAAUGUUUUAGGGUAUACUUCUUAAAAGUAAAAGGUGAAAAAUAAAUAAGGAGUGCAUAUAGGUCUCAACUAUAGUUAAUGAUAAGAAUAUGAAGAUUAUGUGUCACACAUGGAUGUACUUACCCAUGAACAACACAUUCACCGAUAUGCUUUUGAUGACUCUUCCUUUUUCUCCUUUCCUCCUUAUUGCACCAAUGCUAAUGUGUUGAAUUGGUAAACAUAUUGAAGAUUGUCGCCAUCCUUCCCCUUUAGCAUUUUGGACCGAUAAAAAUGUUCUUUCUUAUUUUAUUAUUUUCUUGCAGAGGUGAGCUGACUCAAACUGAGUGAUUUGAACAUUGUGAGCAGAAGUGCUGGCGCCUUUUAUAAUUAUUGUAUUUAUUUUGGUUAUUGUAUUUAUCUUUCCAAUGAUAGAAGACUUGAUUCUAUGAACUUGUGGUUGCAGCUAAGCUAGGCCUUUCCCUCAUCUCCUUCUGUAAGGCUUAGCCUCGCUGUCAAUUAUGGAAAAUAGUUGUAGUUUUGUGAUAGUUGUUUUAGUGCUAUGAUAACUCGAAUUUAAUUUAUUAAUUGCCUCUUUCACUUUGGCGAAUAGUGUUGUAACUUGUAGAUGGUUAGUGUUCUUUAAUGCAGUUACCAGUCCUAAUGUUGAUUAUUUGAAAGGUUUAUAGUAGCUAUAUUCUCUUGUUCUCAAAAAAAUAAUUUAUUAAUUGCUCCAAGUUCUUUUAGAAUUAUUGGACUAUACAUGCAAAUUAAUGUCAUAAAGAAUUGCAAUUUAUGUUUGCUUCCUCAGGUGAGUAAUGAGCAUCCAUUGAGUAAGGUCAUUGUCGAGUAUGCCAAAAAAUUCAAAGAUAAAGAGAAACCUUAUUUGUCCGAGGGAGAAUUCAAAGACGUAAAAAAUCAUUCUUACUCAUUUAAGAUACUUAUGCUUAUGUGCAAAUAGAGAAACAACUUUCUUAGGCAACUAGAGUGAUAUACCAUGUGCAAAAUGAAUAAAACCUAAUGAAAUUUAUUAUGAAAUAAAGAUCUUGUGACUUAUUUUUUCUCUCACUAUCCUUAUUCAUUUUCGUCUUUGGGCAAGGCUAGGGACAAGGUUUUCCCAGUUUUGGAAACAAAAACAAACUAGAAGUUUAGUACGUAGUUUGGGCAGGCUAUUUGAGAUGACAUUCAUAUUUGUAAUUGUCUCUACUUCAAUAGAGAUUUAGUAGAAAUCUCAUGUUCAUCUUGCUGACUUGUAGAAUUUAAUUGCAUUGUAGUAAGUUAACCUUAUGGUAUUUUGCUAAUUCCUUAUGAAUAUUAACAAAAGUUGUACAAAGUAACUUCACUUACUGGCGUUGAUAUAAAAGAUGACCUUUCACCUUUCUAAAGAAUACAUUAAAUAUUGGGUAAAUUGCUUUAAUCUUCAAUGAGAUUUAUUGUUGUUGCAUUUAUCUCCCUUCUAUUUUUAACAAGACACUAAUCUCCCUCAUUUUAUUGGAUACAUUGCGCCAACUUCAUUGAGGUUUAGCAUUAUUGUGUUGUCCUCCACUAAGAUUAAUCAUUAUAACACUUAACACUACUCUAUUACUCUAAAUGAGACAUGAAGGGGAGAUGUCAAUUAAUUUUGCAAAAUAGAGGGGAGAUUAAUGUAACAAUGAUAAACAUCACAAUGCAAUUUCUCCUUAAAUAUUUAUAAGUUUAGAACUAAUCUUUUGUGGAAGCAGACAUGAAGUUGUGGAAGCUACUAUAAACUCUUCAUCAUUGUGGAAGCAAUGCAAAGUCAUGAAAUUGUCUAAGAACAUGCGGCUAACCGCAGCUGAGACGCCUGAUGAAGCAAAAGAAAUCAAAGAGUUUUGCAGGAGAGCAUGAUGUUCAAAUCUCGGAAGAUCUGCUCAUCCCAAUUAUGAAUGUUGAAAUGAUAAACACAUGCUUGGCAUGAUAGCUGCACCAAAACAUGAAUAUCUGAGCUCCGACUCUGCCUUGCGAUCAGAUGAGGAUUCUGAAAUCUGAGGUGAGUGGUUUACCAUAGAAUUUUUUAACGACACUAAAAUUUCAGGAAUCCCUAACCACAAACUAUUAUUGAAAGUUGGUACUUCAAUCAUGCUUUUGAGAAAUAUAGACCAAACAACAAGUUUAUGCAAUGGAACCAAGUUAAUUGUGGAACUUGGUGAACGUGUUAUCGGUGCAACUGUUACCACAAGAACAAAUGCUAAUGUCAAAGUACACAUUUCAAGAACGGACUUGGUUCCUUAUGAUUCCAAAUUUCCAAUUAAAUUCAGAAGAAGACAGUUUCCAAUUGUAGUAUGCUUUGCUAUGACCAUAAAAAAAGUCAAAGACAAAUACUAUCUCAAAUUGGGUUCUUCCUUCUGAUGCUCGUCUUCACUCAUGGUCAGUUAUAUGUAGCUCUCUCUAGAGUACGCUCAAGAAAUGGUCUUAAACUUUGUAUACUGGAUGAGUCGGGCAAACAACAGACCAGUACUGUAAAUGUGGUGUUUAAGGAAGUUUUUGAAAUGUUUGAUAUACACAACAUAAUUUCAUUUAUUUAUUUCAUUUUUCUCUUCAUAUAUUAUUACACGAUUAACUUAUACACGAUUGACUUAUUUAUAAUUUAAAAAUUACACACAUAUAUAUAUGAAAACUAAUUUAUUUAUUAAAAAAAUUCAACAUAAAAUUCCGUGCAACGCACGGGUUAUCUCUCUAGUAACCUUAGAAAACUGAAUGGAAGUCAGUUUUAACUAGUGUUUAUUUAAUUAAUUAAUUAAUUAGGAAAUAUUCUAGAGAUAAGUUGUUGAGUUCUAUCUAGUAAUUCAAAGGAAAUGGGGAAGAGAAUGAACCUAGACUAGGGUUUAGGGAAAGGGGAGUUAAAAACAGGAAAAAAAAACCACCCUCAUAUGAUGGGCUGGUCAAGCAUUUCAAGGGGGAUGGGUUGGUGAGCCUCUCAUAUAAAUAGAACCUCAGUCAGAAGGCUAAAAUCACACACCUCAGUAGCUGCUUCCCUUACUAGAAAAACUACACUUUAGACUCAUCAAUCUCAAGUGCUCCCUCUCCCUUUUGGUGGCCGAAACCCCCUCCUUCCCUUGGUAGUUAAUAGCACUUCUUCCAUUCUCCAAUUCUUCGAGGUUUUGUUGGCAUAUGAACUACAAUCUACGAAGGUAAGGGUAGCUUCUUUCUUAGUGCGUGAGUCUGCCUGAUUUUUAUUUUCUUGCAUGAUACGUGAAGUGAAGGUGUUUAAGGCGUUGAAUUGAUUGAAUUGUCUUGGUUGUUGUUGUUUUCUCUAUAUUGAUAACAUGCUUUCUUUUGUUGAAUCAUUGUUGGGCGAAAUAUUGAUUAAAUGUUGUUGUUGGAAAAUUAAUGGAAUUAACCUUGUUCUUGGUUGUUGUUUGAUUAAGGGGAUGAACCUUAAUAUUGUUGUGGGUUGUUGGAUUAAUGUGAUAGACUUUAAUCUUGUUGUUGGUUGCUGUUUGAUUAAGGGGAUAUGCCUUAAUCUUAUUAGUGGUAUUCUGAUAUCUUAUCUUUAAUUUGCAGAUAUGUUGUUAUUUUGUUUUAGUAUUUGAAUAUAUUGUGAUUUGUUAAAAAUUGAAGAUAUGUUGUUAGUAGAUUAAAUUUUGAAGAUAAGGUUAAUUUGUUAAGGUGGUUGCUCAUUCAAAUUUUGAACUCAUUUUAGUUUGAAAUACGAAUUGGGAUAGGUUAUUCUGUUUGUUGUUGAUUGUUUUUCGGAGCUAACCAUCAAUGUUUGCUACUUGUCUAUGCGGGCGCUUAACGUUUUAGUUGAUGGGCCGCAAGUGGUGAAGUCUGAAUUUCUUGACGAUAAGGAGUCGAUGACGAGGUUUUGGAGCAGCGUAGAAGGAAGGCUUGCAAAGCGGACGUUUUUGAAUAGUUAUUAUUUUUAAACUUGAAUUUUAAUCUCGCCAAACGUUGAUAUUUUGUUGGAUUUUGAAUUACGCUAGCAGUUACUUAGGAUUUUAAUCGGUUUAUCUUAUUAUUUCUAUAUGGUUAGUAAAGUUAUGCUUAGAUAUUAUCAUUUGCUAAAGUUUGAGAAUCAAACGAUUAAAGGUUCAAAUUUUGAAAAUUGAGAUAAACUAGUCAAUCGGAUUUUGAACUUAAUGGAUAAUUGAAUUUUUUUGGAAAUGUUUUGAAAAAUGAUAUCAAAAACCUCAUUUGAGUUCGAGUAAAAGUUCGAGUUGUUCUGUCUAUGGAAAUAAGGGCUUUUAAUGAGGCAUUCUGCCCUACCAGCUUACCUGGGAACUUCUCGGGCCAUUGCUUGGGUGAUGAUGUGCCUUUGUUUUCGAAAUAUCACCUUUGGGAAAAAAAAUCCGAGUUAGUCCCCAUAUUUGUUGGGUUACUAAUGUGAUCCCUGGUUGAGAAAUUGGGGCGUUACACGAACCCUAGCCGCCAGCCAAGAUUCAAUGUGUUAAUUAAUGUUGAAAUCGAAACGGACCAGGGUGCACAAAAUCUUGCUGUAAUUCUGAACCAAAUUAUGGGGGUUAACUAGACCGUUACAGGUGUGAGUGUAAUCCCGAUUUUGAAGGAAGGUAUUAAAGGGGGAGAGGCGGCAGUUAAUGCUCUAGCACAAAACAUGGGGGUUGCCAACACAUUAGCAGGGAAUAUUCCCUCAAAGUCAACCAAUGAUUGUGGAACAUAAAUUCAAAUGAUGAAAAAAAGCAUUAAAUAAGGUGCAAAGAGCAGUGUUAUUAAACUCGGGUCGGUGAUCGACUCGGUCAGGGUACUGGGUCAAUGAGUCACUGGUCUGACCACUGGAUCACUGGUUGAACCGCUUGACUCAGUGUACGUUGAAUACUACGAGUUAAACCAUGUACUUAAAGUUAAAUAAAUAUUUAAGUACUCAAAAUAACACACAAAAGUGACAUAUGUAAAUAUUAGAUAACUUAAUUUUUUCAAUAUUAUUUUCUCAUUAUAAUUAAUUAUGUAUAAUGAAUCUUAACAAAAUUUAUGAAUUAUUUAAUAGUGUAAUACUAGAUGUUAAUAAAUGCAUAUAUACUCUACUAAUUACACCAAAAAAAAAUCUCCACUAAUUGGCAAUAGACAGACUUCGUAGGAAACAAAAAGCAAGACAGUUUUUUUUUUUUUUUUUAUAUAUAUGAAAGCAAAUAGAACUGGCAUGUCUGCGUGGCCCAGUAAUUUUUUAUUCAAACCCACUUCUCUACCCAUUAACCUCACUAUUUUACCUAAGUUUCAAAAAAAAAAACCUCACUAUUUUACCUAUGUUCUAACCCAUUUGAAGCAAAGCCCAUAUAACAAACCCUAAUAUUUAUUUACCUACGUGCAACUUUAGUUAAGGUCUUAAAGACAGCAGCUCCAUUUGCAGGAAGAGGGGCAGCCGGCUCUUUGUUUCAUAUUUCUCCUCAUUCCUUCAAGUUUCUCUCUUCAUAUCAAAGAUUAAGCAAAUAAUGAAACUAAGAUCCGAGACCGAUAAUAUGGAUUGCUGAUUUCAGUCUUCACACUUCGUCUACGAUUGUUCUUCUUUCUUCUAAUGUUUUUUUUUUCAACUUUCAUUACAUAACAAGCCGUAUGGCUGCCAUCUUUCCCCCUUAUGUGUCUGAAUGACGUUGUUUUGAAGGUUUGAUUUUUUUUACAAACUCACUGGUCCAACUGGUAUAAGGCCGAGUCACCGGUUUUUUUACCAAACCGGCCGAGUCUAUCCGGUUCACACCGAGUCGUUUGCAUGGCCGAUCCGAUACUCAACUCAAACCGGCCAAGGGUCUGGUUCACGGUUUAACCGAUCGAACCGGCCGGUUCGAGCCGAGUUUAAUAACACUGGCAAAGAGAGAGGAGUAUCGAGAUUCAAAGGAAUGUUGAUCAAUCAUAGCAUGGGCCCACCAACAAGCAUAUUCAAAGUCGUACCCCACCAUCUAUCAUGGGUGACCCACGCAACAUGCAUGUAGCAAAAGACUGGCACGUGACAAGGAGUCUGGUUCUCAUUCGAAAAGUGUUAACCCCCACCAUAAUCAUACAGGGGUUGUAUGUGGUAUCUUGAGACAUGAUGGUGACCAGAGAUUGGCUACAUUGUCCAAUGAAGCUCCACUUCUUGCGUCGAGUGAGUUUUGUCAUAGAGAAAGGGAUAAGAGUUUAUCUCUUGGUGCCUCCACUAGAACAACUUAAUGUUGUGUGUUCCUUGGCCACCUUCUCAUGUGUUGUUUAUUGUAAGACCCACAUUUUUAGAAUUAGUAAAUUCCGACUCACGCCUAAGAUUUUGUGUAAGCGUGAGAGGAACCGAAACGAGAAUUUGUUGGUUUGACAUGUGUAAUAAAGGAGAAAGUUCAGAAUAUGAAUAAAGAUAAUACUAGAGUGAGUUUGAGUGAUAGCACGAGCCCUAUUCGCACACGGCUAAGGUCGAGAGUGUCCGAAAAAGGUUAUUUCCGCUACUAGAGCAUGGUUUAAGAUAAAAUUCGACAGCGGGAAGAAAAUGAGACCCUUAGGGUAUUUUUAUGAUGACGAGUGUCCUAAUACAGAACUAUAGACUGUACGCGCGAUAAAGUUUGACUUUAUCUCCGCAGGGACUUUAAGUUAUACCCUUAAACCCAUUUUUAAUCCACUGAUACUUUUUGAAGCUUAAAGCCUUAAACUUGCUUAGUUUCAGUAGGAUUUGUUGUUGGUAAAUGUCUUGUUUAUAACUCUACCGAUUCAUUUUUAGAAAAUUUUAACUUUGAGUUUUUGUUUGACUAAUAUACCCCUAUUUGCGUUUUAAGUCCCAUAAUUUUUCCGGGAGUUUUUUACCCUAGAUAUCACCUAAGAAUGCCUAGGAAUUAAAUUAGAUCGAUGAAAAAGUUCGGCAAGCCUUAUUUUGAAGGGGGGUGGCCGAGAGCUCUAUGGGGAAGGGGGAGAAAAAUCUUUUUUGCAGAAACUCUUCCCUUCGUGCUUAGAUGUUGUACUCUAAAGCUAAGAAAUAUUUUAAUAAACUCCGAUUAGCAUUAUUAGAUCACUUUGUUUCUUAGUGAUUAAGCCACGAUAUUUUGCUUAAGGUGUUGAUCGAGCUGAACUAAGGAGAGAAGAUUUGGAACCAGUUGUGAAGUUUCAGGACGGACGAGAACACCCAAGAGGUAAGGGAAACUCUCCUAGUUAUUAACUAUUAUGCUUAGGUGUCAAAAAAUCGGCAAUUGUUAAAUGAUUUUGAUCUAUGAGGCUUAUGCCCCUGUUGACUGUUGACGCUUCGGCCGUUUACUGUGGUUUGUGUCUUAUUGCUUGCUAGUAGAUAGGCUUGUUUUACUCAACUGUAUAGACAUGUUCCAUUUCUUUGAAUUGUGUAUGUGCAUAAACAUUGAGUUAUGCCAAAAUCUUAUGAUUAUAUCAAUUGUGAGAGUGUUAUAAGAGUUAGCAAGUAGGAUCCAACAGAAGGUUUGAGCUACUGCUGACAUGGAGGAUCUAGGCUUUCUCAUGAAAGAGGACUUAAGGAUAAUGAGCAUCUUUAACUUAUUAGAUUUCGAAACAAAUGAAUGCAUAAGACUACGAUUUUGAGAACAAAUUCCAUAAUGAAUUAAUUCAAGACAGAACCUUUUGAAUGAUAAAGAUAACCUCUUUUGCGGAAAACUUAGGAUAUGAAAUGAUUUCUAAGACGGGAAUGGUCGAUGAUCCGAGGUUCGAGGAAAGAUAAGUAUUUGAGUUGCGGGCAUCAAGAGGAAGAGUCGUUAUGACUAGAGCAGCCACUAAGUACAAGCGACACUUCCUUGCUGGUGAAGCAAUUGGUCAAUGGACCGACGUUUACCUUAGGGAAGAACGAUAGAGACAAUGAACCAUAGCUAGACAAUUAUCCGGGUAAGGACAAAUUGUUAUUUUCUAGCUUAUGCAUACGUGCAUAACUUGAAGUGAGAUAGUCGAAAGAUCGGGCUCCACAUCGGUUGAGGGAAUGAACCUCAAAUUCUUAUUAUUUGAUUAAGGGGUUUGUCCUUAAUCUUAUUCUUAUUAUUUGAUUAUGGGGUUUGUCCUUAAUCCUAUUCUUUAUUACUUGAUUAAGGGGACGACCCUUAAUCCUAUUAGUUCUUACUUGAUUAAAGGGAUGAUCCUUAAUCCUAUUCGUUAUUACUUGAUUAAGGGGAAGAUCUUUAAUCCUAUUUGUUAUUACUUGAUUAAGGGGACAAUCCUUAAUCCUAUUCUUUAUUGCUUGAUUAAGGGGAUGGUUCUUAAUCCCAUCAUUUGUUAUUUGAUUAAGAGGACAAACCUUCAUCAUACUAUUUGUUAUUGGAUUAAGAGGUUAGACCUUAUUCAUAUUCUUUGUUAUUUGAUUAAGAGGAUAGACCUUAGUCAUACUAUUUGUUAUUUGAUUAAGAGGUUUAAGACCUUAAUCAUAUUAAUUGUUAUUAGAUUAAGAUGACAGACCUUAAAUCCUAUUAUUUGUUAUCGAUUAAGGGGCUAGUCCUUAAUCUUGUUAUCUAUUUGUUUGAUUAAAGAAUAUAGACCCUCGUCGCGUUAGAUGAUUAACUUUUGGGUCGCACAAAUACGUUGUGACACGUGGCGCUGCCCUGACAAGGAGAUGAAGAUACACCUAUGCGCAGGCGGCGAGCGAUGGACUGAUGGAUUGACGUUCAGAUGAUAGAGAUGGACAUACGUCGUUCUUAAUUAUUAUUUACACGCUGCUUAUAACGAUGCUGGAUUUCGCUAGGACUUAUAUUACAUUAUUCUAGGAAGUUGACCCUUUCUUGCCUUGUUUGUUUUGUUUGUGCUUAAGAGGUCGACAAACUGUCAGGCUAUAAUAGGUGGUGCUGCGAGUAGCUGCUAGUCGCUGAGAGAAGGUGAUUGGGCUGAUUUGACGAGAAGGCUUCCUUGGAGUGUGUGGACCAACCGCAUACUUGUAAAAGUAAUGGUUAGACGUAAGGCUAGAGCCUUGGGUAGAGAAGCUUACCGUCAUUGGUUGAAGCUGGUAGGGAUGAUUGUAUAAUUUACUUUGGUUUUGGGUACGUUCCGAUGCAUUGCUCUUCCGGGAUUCUCGAAUGCGGAAGUUGUAGGAAGUAUAUUGGAAUUAGGGAGCCAUUGUGUUCUAAACUCUGUGGUAGAAUAAAACAUUACUUUAUUGUAUUUCGCAUGAUUUGAACAUUCGUCGUCACUCACGGGUGCUUGCCUUGACAAGGCCGAAUGUAUGGGUUUGGGUAGGAGUAUGCAUAUUUUGUUUGGAAAUGUUUUGAAGAGAAUAGAAAAAAAUAUACACCUGUAUUUGUAAAUCCUUUUAGAAAAUUAUUUUGUUUUAUUUAGUAGGUUACUAUUUGUGACCCCUGAAAGUCGGGGUGUUACAUUUAUAAUGUAGGUAAAGAAAUAAGAAACGUAACAAAAAAUUCCAGAUAUGUAUGAAUGUAUCAUUCGGAUCUGUGUUAUACAGAAAACACGAAGAUCUAAAUUUGAAGGAGAAGAACAAAACACAGAAAAAAUGUGGUAAGAAGCAGAUGAAGGAUAAGAAUAUUAAUUUUAAGGCAAUUUUAAGAAAAAUUAGGUAAGUGGACUGGGCGAGACCCUAGGGUCCUUCGCGCAGGGGAGCUGGCCUAAGGCGAGGAGCGCAUCAGGGACUUGGGCCUUCGUCCCGGAGGCCCAACUGGCCCAUUAGGAUGGUUUAAAGGCGUUAGGCCCAACUCCCCCAACUAUAAAUAGGGGUCGGUGACCAAUUGUAAGAGACUCUUAGCUCAUUUGAGAAAUAACAAGCUAGAAAUUCAGUUACUUUCUCUUUCUAAGCGGUUACGCUCUCACUCUCUCUAGGAAUCUCACAUCACGUUCCUUGCACCUUAGGUACUACACUUCACCUCAAUGUUCAUGAUGGAACAUUUGGCGUCGUCUGUGGGGAACGGUAGAUUUUGAUUUCCGGAGUACGUGGAUUGCAAUUGAAUUUGGAGAAGUUCGAUUCUCUGUGUGAAUUUCUUCAGUUUUCAGUUUUUCACUUGAAGUUCUUCGGUUCACCAAUCAGGAUUGAUGGAAACACAUCAUCGACGACGCGACGAAGAUCAGGAGCGGCGACGCGGUUCGCCUCCACGUCUCGUAAGAGGCAGCCCGCGACGCGAGCAAGUUUGUCGUGAAGAAACCGAUCAGUUAACUCCUCCUCCUCCACCACCACCUCCACCUCCUU
rnacentral:lncRNA from 1 species